AUUACAGUACCUUGAAGUGGUCUUUUGUUUUCUUUCGCUAACGGAGCUCACGAGAUUUCUGUUGAGUUUUGUGUUGUGAAGUUUUCAAGUUUUGGGUGAAAGAUUUUGAUGGAUUAUGGAACNNNNNNNNNNNNNNNNNNNNNNNNNNNNNNNNNNNNNNNNNNNNNNNNNNNNNNNNNNNNNNNNNNNNNNNNNNNNNNNNNNNNNNNNNNNNNNNNNNNNNNNNNNNNNNNNNNNNNNNNNNNNNNNNNNNNNNNNNNNNNNNNNNNNNNNNNNNNNNNNNNNNNNNNNNNNNNNNNNNNNNNNNNNNNNNNNNNNNNNNNNNNNNNNNNNNNNNNNNNNNNNNNNNNNNNNNNNNNNNNNNNNNNNNNNNNNNNNNNNNNNNNNNNNNNNNNNNNNNNNNNNNNNNNNNNNNNNNNNNNNNNNNNNNNNNNNNNNNNNNNUAUCGUGAGCUCCGUUAGCGAAACUCCCAAGCUUAGGCUCUUGCCACUCCUUGUUCCGUAAUCCAUCAAAAUCUUUCACCCAAAACUUGAAAACUUCACAACACAAAACUCAACAGAAAUCUCGUGAGCUCCGUUAGCGAAAGAAAACAAAAGACCACUUCAAGGUACUGUAAUGAACUCAUUCUUUAUUUAUAUUGGUGUUAAACCUACUGGCAGAGGUAGAGGCGGGCCUAGGCCCCCAACGAUGGGCGUGGCUGGUGCAACCGGUACUGGCAGAGGUCAGUCUCUAGGCGCGCCUCCGCCUAACUUCGUUGCGCGGCCGGCCCAAAACCGGUCGGGACCAUCUCAGACGAGGCAGAUUUCUAGUUCUAAAGACUCCCGUGCUCCGCCCCGAGGCCAAUGGGGGGACGAUGGGUUAGAUGUGUAUGGCAAUGGACAGCACAGGGGUUCCUCCUCCACGGGAGGGGGGCGUGGUUAUGCCUGGCAGAGUGACGGGUCUGCUGAGAGACCGUUUCUCAGGCCUCCAGGAGGUUUUGUUGAGGGUGCUUCCGGUCCGGAUCACCGCCAGAGAGGGGGUCACCGUGGACAUCGCGGUGGUCGGGGCGGUGGCCGCGGGAGGUAUCAUCGCAGACCGCCUCCGCCUCCCGCAGUUGUUGACCAAGCGGAGUCAGUACUGGAGACCGAUUGCGCUUCCACGGAGCUCCCUCCCCAGGCAAUGGAGGUGGUAGCGGCUUUAGCCACUGUUGAGGUUCCGGCGACUGGGAGUGUGACUGAGGUUACCGACAGGUCUGAUGCUGAGAGGGCGUCCAAGUGGGCGCGUAAGAAGGAAAGGAUGCUUUGCUACCGUUGUGGUGAGAAGGGCCACUUCAUCGCUGAAUGCGUGGCAGAGCUGUGUGAGUCCUGUGGUAAUCCGGCACAUGCCUCGGGGGAUUGCCCGUUGUUGCGUGACCAGGCUCCGUCUUUGACUAUGUAUGGAGUUUAUUGUGCUGAGCUAAUGUUCUUUGAGUCCCCGGCAGCGAGAGAGACUCCGGAGGAGACUUUGAGCUUGACCACCGGGGUUGUCAAAGCUACUCAGGGUGAGGUUUCGGAGGAUCAGAUAGUGCAGAGGCUUCAGGAACUGGCACCGGGAGACUUCCAUUGGGAGCUCGUUCCUCUUGAGGCCAAGGUUUUUAAGGUGGAGUUUCCUUCAGUGGACGAUCUGCAGGGACUGUUGAGUUUUGGUUUAUGCAGAGUUCCUGGCACUAGGUGCAUUCUGGAGUUCCAUGAGUGGCAGCAGGUGGAACCUAAAGGAAAGCCGCUUACGCAGGUCUGGUUGCGGUUUUCGGGGGCUCCAUCUAAGCCUUUGCAGGAUGUUCGAGUCGUGGCCGGUAUGGGCAUUAUGGUUGGCAAGACGGAGAAAGUGGAUAUGGCCUUUACUCGUGCACAUGGAGUGGCCCGCAUCUUAGUGAGUGUUUUGGAUAUUGAUUUCGUGCCUGACGUGGUUAACUGGAGUUACAGAGGAGAGGUGUUUCCUCUUGAGAUCGAGUUUGAGGACGCUGCCCUGUUUGCUGAGGCAAUGAUUGGGAAUGAUGUUGACAUGCAUGAGGGGGACGACAGUACGGGAGCUGAGGAGGCACCGACUGACGAGUCGACUCGUGAGGGGACUAACGGCUCUCGUCCUGUAGCUCAGACCGGGGAUGGAACCGGGGUUGAGCCGGCACCUUCUCCAUCGGUGCCUAUGACUUCAUUGCGGUUCGGGUCCUUUGAGCCAGCCUCUGCCCCUCCCAGACUUUGGAGUGACCGAGUAGAUUCUGAUGAUGCGUUUGAGCAGUCAGUACCUUUGUUGGCGUUCGAGGAUGCUGGUGGGGCACCGGUUGGAUGCUUGCUGCGGACAUCGUCGGUGAGGACUUUGGUUGGUUCCGGGGACGGGGAGUCGGUGGUUGCUCCACCGGAGGUCGACGUUUCGGCCCUAACGGCUGCAGCUGUGGUGGGGCGUGGGGGUGGGGGGUCGGGGCAGGUGCCUCCCACUUCCCCCUUCACUAUACCGACAUCGGCAUCGCUGGUCAUGACGGGACCGGCAGGUGAUGGGAGAGGAAGCCCGAGGCAGGCGGCCGCGGCUCUCUCUCCUUCGGGCGUGGCGGCGGCAGCCGCGCCUUCUGUGGCGUUGGGGGAGGGGGGUUUGGGGCAGGCGGCCCUGACUCCUCCUUCCUCGCCGGCGGUCAGGAGGACCGCAUCUCCUUCGGUUGUGGCGGCGCCCACGCCUUCUGUGGCAUUGGGGGAGGGGGGUUUGGGGCAGGCGGCCCUGACUCCUCCUUCCUUGCCGGCGGUCAGGUGGACCGCUUCUCCUUCGGCUGUGGCGGCGCCCGCGCCUUUUGUGGCGUUGGGGGAGAAGGGUUUGGGGCAGGCGGCCCUGACUCCUCCUUCCUCGUCGGCGGUCAGGAGAUCCGAGCCUGCUCCCAGUGUACCUGUUGCUAUGGGUCUCGGAUUGAGGCACUUGUCCGAGGGGUCUGGGAGCCCGCAGCCGCCUCCUCCGGUAUCCUUGGUUGACCCUUCGCGGGUUUCAGCGCGAGGAGUUACUAGGGAGGAGGUCGUUGCUUUUGGCGGGAUCCCGGACCCGGCCUCGACGGGGAGGCGGAUGAGUGCUCGCAUUCAGGAGCUUCCGGAGGUUGAUGACAUGCAGCAGAGGUGCGCUAUGAGGGCGGCCAAGCUUCAUGAUGCUGCGAUCUCUACUGGUAUGUCCGUCAACAUAUCUAAUUCUUUAUUGCAUUUUUUAAUGAGGAAAUUAUAAAUAAUGCAAACCAAUUAGGAGUUUCACUCGGGGCUACAGAUAGUGAGAUUUCCAAUUCGGUGAAUGAUUUGUUAGAUUUGGAGGCGGAGUGUGCCUUAGAAACUAUUCGUAAUCUUGCAGCGGUUAAACCCAUGAAUGAUAAUGAGAUUGAUGCAUUAGGGGUUAGAGUGCUCGAUAAUAUGUGUGUGGAUCUAGCACCAUCCAAUAAUGAGUCUGAGGACGAUGAUAUGCCCAUAGAUAAUGCAGUUGUUUCUUCCGCUGAGCCCGGUUAUGAGGAUCGGGAGUCAGGACCUAGUAAACCCAAGCGUAAGUGGAAACGGAAAAUUUACCCCGAUUCUGCAGUUCGUAGGAGUGCUAGGAUUCGGACUACUAAAAAAUUUCAUGAUGAGUGAUGAAAGGAAUCUUUUGGAAUAGCAGAGGUCUGAAAGACUUGGCUAAACGAAGGUUUCUUGCUGAGGCUUCUCUGGAGCAUCACUUAGAUUUUAUUGCUCUAUCGGAGACUGGUAGAGACAACUUUGCGCCCCAGUUCCUUUCCUCUCUUGCGGGUGGUGUUGAUUUUGAUUGGCAUUGCCUCCCUCCGCGAGGAAGAUCGGGUGGUAUCUUGCUGGGUGUGAGAUGCGAUUCGCUUGAAGUCCGUAGUGUAGUGAUGGGUGGCUUCGCGGUUAAGUUUCGAGUGAGGUCUAAGGUUGAUGGUUUCAACUGGGCGUUGGUGGCGGUGUAUGGUGCCGCACAGCCCGAGCUUAAACCGGAAUUUUUGGCGGAUCUUGUUCGGAUUUGUGGGUCCGAGCAGCUUCCCAUCUUAGUUGGGGGUGAUUUCAACAUCAUUAGGAGGAGAGAGGAGAAGAAUAAUGAUAACUUUGACGGCAGGUGGUCGUUCAUGUUCAAUACUAUUAUUGAAAGCUUGGAUCUGAGGGAGAUAGAGCUUUCUGGUAGAAAGUUUACCUGGGCUAACUCUUUGCCCAACCCGACUUACGAAAAGCUUGAUCGCGUUCUUGCGAGUGUGGAGUGGGAACAGAAGUUCCCGCUUGUGACGGUUCAAGCUCUUUCACGGGGUUUUUCCGAUCACACACCCCUGUUCGUUGACUCAGGGGAGCUGAACCACAUGGGAAACAAAAACACCUUUUCUUUUGAGAUGGCCUGGUUCGAACGUGAAGGAUUCCUAGACCUCAUCGCUAGGGAAUGGGCGAAGGGUGUUGGAGGUAGGACCGCGGUUGAGCGUUGGCAAAAUAAGAUUAGGAAUUUGAGAAGCUUCUUACGGGGUUGGGCUAAGCACCUUAGUGGGGUGUAUAAGAUUGAGAAGGACAGGCUCCUCUCUCUUAUACAGAAUCUGGACGUUAAGGCAGAAUCCACGAUUUUGAUGCCUGCUGAGCUCCAGGUUAAAACUGAAGCAGAGAAGAGGUUGAAAGAACUUCUCCGUGAAGAAGAGUUGAAGUGGGCUUUGCGAGCUAAGGUUCGCAAAGUGGUCCAAGGGGACGCGAAUACUCAAUUCUUUCAUCUGAUUGCUAAUGGUAAGCACAGAAAGAAGAGAAUAUUCCAACUUGAACAAGAUGAGGGCACUAUUGUAGGACAGGACAACCUAAAAACAUAUAUAACCGAGUAUUAUAGGCAGUUAUUUGGACCUCCGGGGGAUAAUUGUGUAUCUCUCGAUGAGUCCAGAACUGAGGAUGUGCCUCAACUUUCGGCUGCUGAAAAUGAUAUUCUGGUUGCCCCGUUUUCGGAGAAGGAGGUGUUUGAUGCUAUAGCACAGUUGAAAAAUAAUAAGGCUCCCGGACCGGAUGGAUUUUCGGUGGAGUUCUACAAGAAGUGCUGGCAUAUUAUUAAGGGGGAUUUGCUACCUAUGUUUCAUGAUCUGUUCUCUGGACAGCUUCAAUUAUUUCACUUGAAUUUUGGAACUAUCACACUGCUUCCUAAGAAGACGGAUGCUAUGAGAAUUGAGCAGUUCAGGCCAAUCUGCCUUCUCAAUGUUAGUUUUAAAAUAUUCACCAAGGUCGGGACUAAUAGGCUCACACAGAUUGCGCAUUCUGUGGUGCAGCACUCCCAAACUGCUUUCAUGCCGGACAGAAACAUCCUUGAAGGGGUGGUCGUCCUUCAUGAAACGCUCCAUGAAAUCCAUUCCAAGAAGUUAGAUGGUGUCAUUUUUAAGGUGGAUUUCGAGAAAGCGUACGAUAAGGUCAAAUGGCCAUUUCUCCAACAGGAAUUGCGUAUGAAAGGUUUUGAUGAAGCCUGGCGACGCCAGGUCGAAUCAUUUACGCAAAAAGGGAGUGUGGGAAUUAAAGUGAAUGACGAUAUUGGUCAUUACUUCCAGACACAUAAAGUCCUAAGACAAGGAGAUCCGAUGUCCCCUAUCCUGUUUAACAUUGUGGUUGAUAUGUUAGCCAUCUUGAUAGGAAGGGCUAAGGAGAAUGGUCAAGUGGGUGGCUUGGUACCUCAUCUGGUUGAUGGAGGUGUAUCCAUCCUUCAGUAUGCUGAUGAUACAAUCAUCUUUAUGGAGCAUGACCUGGCCAAGGCGAGAAAUAUGAAGCUGGUGUUAUGCCUUUUCGAACAAUUGACCGGGUUAAAGAUUAACUUUCAUAAGAGCGAGCUGUUCUGCUUUGGUAGAGCUAAAGACGAACAGGAGGCUUAUAGGCAAUUGUUUGGGUGCGACUUGGGGGAUUUACCUUUCUCUUACCUAGGUAUUCCAAUCCAUCAUCGAGAGCUGACCAAUAGAGAAUGGAAGUGCAUCGAAGACCGGUUUGAGAAGAAACUGAGUUGCUGGAAGGGCAAGCUCAUGUCAUAUGGAGGCCGAUUAAUUCUGAUUAAUUCAGUGCUCACGAGUAUGCCUAUGUUUCUCUUAUCGUUCUUUCAAGUCCCAGUUGGUGUUAGGAAAAGACUGGACUUUUAUCGAUCGCGUUUCUUUUGGCAGGGUGAUGAGCUAAAAAGAAAGUACAGACUUGCAAAAUGGGAUAUCAUCUGUAGACCGAAAGAUCAAGGGGGUCUUGGUAUUGAGAAUCUUGAAGUUAAGAACAGGUGCCUUCUUAGCAAGUGGUUGUGGAAGCUUUCUUUUGAGACUGAUGCUAUGUGGGCCCAAAUCCUUCGCAGCAAGUACCUACAGACAAAAUCCUUGUCCCAGGUCACAGUAAGGCCAACUGACUCGCCUUUCUGGAGAGGACUGAUGAAAGUCAAACAAUCUAUGUUUAAUAGGACAAAGGUUGUUAUUGGCAACGACGCUAGUACACGAUUCUGGGAGGAUACUUGGCUUGGCGAGACACCCUUGGCCAUUCAAUAUCCGUCUUUAUAUCGCAUUGUUCAACGACGUGAGGUAUUCGUUGCUACGGUGUUUCAAUCCAUCCCCCUUAAUAUUCAAUUCAGACGGUCGUUAGUGGGCAAUCGUUGGGAAGAUUGGCUCCGUCUAGUUCGGAGACUAAUGGAUGUCCAUCUUUCUCAACAACCCGAUGAAUUACGCUGGAAACUGACUAGGUCUGGAGUAUUCACGGUGAAAUCAAUGUAUAUUGAUGUAAUUAAUUCGAGCUCCAUUCCUACCUCCAAGCAUGUUUGGGCUGUCAAAGUUCCUUUGAAAAUAAAAGUGUUUAUGUGGUUUGUCCAUAAACAGGUUAUUUUAACCAAAGAUAACUUGAUUAAGCGUAAUUGGACAGGACCUACGAGGUGUAGCUUCUGUGAUCGGGACGAGACGAUCAAACAUCUCUUUUUUGAUUGCCCGUUUGCCAGAGUACUUUGGCGGACGGUCCACAUUGCUUUUAAUAUUACUCCACCGAAUUCUAUCACUACGUUAUUUGGGACAUGGCUCAGCGGGAUUGAGCCUGAAUUAGCGAGACAUAUUCGUGUUGGAGUUUGCGCUUUGUUGUGGACUAUCUGGACUUGCAGAAAUGAUUUGGUCUUUAACAGAAUAUCACGUAUUCACUUUUUGCAGGUUAUUUUCCGAGCCACGGCCGUGAUCCGUUCAUGGUCGCUACUCACUCCGAUGGAGGCCAGGGAGCAUUUGGUUACUGGAUCUAUCCGCUGGGAGAUGGUAGCUCGGGAUAUCUUCAACCGGUUUGGAUGGCGGUCAUCUAAUAGGAUAGGCAAUUAGUUUACCUAUCUAUCUUUAGCCAGCCGGUUGUGGCGUCUUAUCUUGGCUAGUCUGUGUGCCCAGCCUCUUUAGCUCUGUGUGAGCUGUCUUUUUAUUUCUUUUCAGUUGGAGACUUUGGAACCUUGUUGGAACCUUUUAUUUCGUUAAUAAGAUGGCCGUAUGCAUCAUUCUGAUGUAGAGGCCGGGGAGAUCCCCCUUUUCGAGAAAGAAAAAAAAUAUAGUUUUGCUCUAGUACUUCACUUAUAUCUUUUAGAGCACGGUGGUGGAUUUGUUUUAUAGAAACUAUUGAUCUCUCAUGCUUCACUUAGAUUAUUUUGAGAGUCUUAAAUAGCAUGGUAAUUUGCUUAAAUAAUCCUAAUAUGCUAGGUAUUCAAGAUUAGUAAAAACUUUCUUAUGAGUGUGUUGAAUACUAAGAGAAGUUUGAUGCUUGAUGAUUGUUUUGAGAUAUGGAGGUAAUAAUAUCAAAGUCGUGCUAGUUGAGUAGUUGUAAAUUUGAGAAAUGCUUGUGUUGAAGUUUGCAAGUCCCGUAGCAUGCACGUAUGGUAAACGUUAUGUAACAAAUUUGAAACAUGAGGUGUUCUUUGAUUGUCCUCCUUAUGAGUGGCGGUCGGGGACGAGCGAUGGUCUUUUCCUACCAAUCUAUCCCCCUAGGAGCAUGCGCGUAGUGCUUGUUUUUUUAUGACUUGUAUAUUUUUGCAAUAAGUAUGUGAGUUCUUUAUGACUAAUGUUGAGUCCAUGGAUUAUAUGCACUCUCACCCUUCCAUCAUGGCUAGCCUCUUCGGUACCGUGCAUUGCCCUUUCUCACAUUGAGAGUUGGUGCAAACUUCGCCAGUGCAUCCAAACCCCGUGAUAUGAUACGCUCUUUCACACAUAAACCUCCUUAUAUCUUCCUCAAAACAGCCACCAUACCUACCUAUUAUGGCAUUUUCAUAGCCAUUCCGAGAUAUAUUGCCAUGCAACUUUCCACCAUUCCGUUUAUCAUGACACAUUCAUCAUUGUCAUAUUGCUUAGCAUGAUCAUGUAGUUGACAUAGUAUUUGUGGCAAAGCCACCGUUCAUAAUUCUUUCAUACAUGUCACUCUUGAUUCAUUGCAUAUCCUGGUACACCGCCGGAGGCAUUCAUAUAGAGUCAAACUUUGUUCUAGUAUCGAGUUGUAAUCAUUGAGUUGUAAAUAAAUAGAAGUGUGAUGAUCAUCAUUUUCUAGAGCAUUGUCCCAAGUGAGGAAUAAAAAUAGAGAAAGGCCAUAAAAAAGAGAAGGCCCAAAAAAUGAGAGAAAAGAGAGAAGGGACAAUGCUACUAUCCUUUGCCACACUUGUGCUUCAAAGUAGCACCAUAAUCUUCAUGAUAGAGAGUCUCUUGUUUUAUCAUUUUCAUAUACUAGUGGGAAUUUUUCAUUAUAGAACUUGGCUUGUAUAUUCCAACAAUGGGCCUCCUCAAGUGCCCUAGGUCUUCGUGAGCAAGCAAGUUGGAUGCACACCCACUUAGUUUCUUUUGUUGAGCUUUCAUACACUUAUAGCUCUAGUGCAUCUGUUGCAUGGCAAUCCCUACUCCUUGCAUUAACAUCAAUCGAUGGGCAUCUCCAUAGCUCAUUGAUUAGCCUCGUUGAUGUGAGACUUUCUCCCUUUUGUCUUCUCCACAUAACCCCCAUCAUCAUACUCUAUUCCACCCAUAGUGCUAUGUCCAUGGCUCGCGCUCAUAUAUUGUGUGAAAGUUUAUAGGUUUGAGAUUACUAAAGUAUGAAACAAUUGCUUGGCUUGUCAUCGGGGUUGUGCAUGAUGAGAGCAUUCUUGUGUGACGAAAAUGGAGCAUGACUAAACUAUAUGAUUUUGUAGGGAUAAACUUUCUUUGGCCAUGUUAUUUUGAGAGUACAUAAUUGCUUAGUUAGUAUGCUUGAAGUAUUAUUAUUUUUAUGUCAAUAUGAACUUUUAUCUUGAAUCUUUCGGAUCUGAAUAUUCAUACCACAAUUAAGAAGAAUUACAUUGAAAUUAUGCCAAGUAGCACUCCGCAUCAAAAAUUCUGUUUUUAUCAUUUACCUACUCGAGGAUGAGCAGGAAUUAAGCUUGGGGAUGCUUGAUACGUCUCCAACGUAUCUAUAAUUUUUGAUUGCUCCAUGCUAUAUUAUCUACUGUUUUGGACAAUAUUGGGCUUUAUUAUCCACUUUUAUAUUAUUUUUGGGACUAACCUAUUAACCGGAGGCCCAGCCCAGAAUUGUUGUUUUUUGCCUAUUUCAGAGUUUCGCAGAAAAAGAAUAUCAAACGGAGUCCAAACGGAAUGAAACCUUCGGGACCGUGAUUUUUGGAACGAACAUGAUCCAGGAGACUUGGACCCUACAUAAGAGAAGCUUCCAGGAGGCCACGAGGUCGGGGCGCGCCCUCCACCCUCGUGGGCCCCACGUUGCUCCACCGACGUACUUCUUCCUCCUAUAUAUACCUACGUACCCCCAAACGAUCAGAUACGGAGCCAAAAACCUAAUUCCACCGCCGCAACCUUCUGUACCCAUGAGAUCCCAUCUUGGGGCCUGUUCCGGAGCUCCGCCGGAGGGGGCACCCAUCACGGAGGGCUUCUACAUCAACACCAUAGCCUCUCCGAUGAAGUGUGAGUAGUUUACCUCAGACCUUCGGGUCCAUAGUUAUUAGCUAGAUGGCUUCUUCUCUCUUUUUGGAUCUCAAUACAAUGUUCUCCCCCUCUCUCGUGGAGAUCUAUUUCAUGUAAUCUUCUUUUUGUGGUGUGUUUGUUGAGACCGAUGAAUUGUGGGUUUAUGAUCAAGUUUAUCUAUGAACAAUAUUUGAAUCUUCUAAAUUCUUUUAUGUAUGAUUGGUUAUCUUUGCAAGUCUCUUUGAAUUAUCAGUUUGGUUUGGCCUACUAGAUUGAUCUUUCUUGCAAUGGGAGAAGUGCUUAGCUUUGGGUUCAAUCUUGUGGUGUCCUUUCCCAGUGAUAGUAGGGGCAGCAAGGCACGUAUUGUAUUGUUGCCAUCGAGGAUAACAAGAUGGGGUUUUUAUCAUAUUGCAUGAAUUUAUCCCUCUACAUCAUGUCAUCUUGCUUAAGGCAUUACUCUGUUUUCAUGAACUUAAUACUCUAGAUGCAUGCUGGAUAGUGGCCGAUGAGUGGAGUAAUAGUAGUAGAUGCAGGCAGGAGUCGGUCUACUUGUCUCGGACGUGAUGCCUAUAUACAUGAUCAUACCUAGAUAUUCUCAUAACUAUGCUCAAUUCUGUCAAUUGCUCAACAGUAAUUCGUUCACCCACCGUAAAAUACCUAUGGCCCCCGGGUCUAUCUUCAUCAUAUUAAUCUUCCAACACUUAGUUAUUUCCUUUGCUUUUAUUUUACUUUGCAUCUUUACCACAAAAAUACCAAAAAUAUUAUCCUAUCAUAUCUAUCAGAUCUCACUCUCGUAAGUGACCGUGAAGGGAUUGACAACCCCUUAUCGCGUUGGUUGCGAGGAUUUGUUUGUUUUGUGUAGGUACGAGGGACUCGCGCGUAGCCUCCUACUGGAUUGAUACCUUGGUUCUCAAAAACUGAGGGAAAUACUUACGCUACUUUGCUGCAUCACCCUUUCCUCUUCAAGGGAAAACCAACGCAGUGCUCAAGAGGUAGCACUCACAUCGCAGACUUUUCUUUGCAGGCCGACGAAACCCCGUGCACCAUAUUGUACACCAUCGGCGACCAGAAGGUGGACGUGGGGAAGGCGACGAUAAUGGAGCCGAAGGAACCAUUGUUCCACAGUCGGCCGAUCCCUCCGGACGUCUUCAGGAUUUCCGUGGCCAGUGUCAAACCGGGCCACGAGAAUUUGGCUCCUCUGGUACUAGUGGGGGAUGACGACGAGACCCCGUGGCGGCUUGGUGAUUGUUGCAAUGAGUGGGUCCUGUUGUGGCCAAAGAGUCUGCUUCGUCUAGAGGCGGCCGGGAGCACACCCACGAGCAUGAAGUUAGGUAUGAACAUCAACGCCUCACCUACCCAAUUAGCGUCGGUUGUCGUGCUGGGUGAUAGCGGAGGGGGUGAGGAAGAGGCUCCAUUAGUCGCUGGUGACGGCGCCAUAGAUUAGGAUGACGAUGACACUCAACAUUAUGUCAAUACUGGUGCCUACUUAGGGUUUAAGCGUCAUGAGUCGGUGCCUGAAUUGCCGCCUCCGGAGUCUGAACGUAUUAUGGACAACCUUCCGGUAGUAAAGAAGUCCAGGAAGAGACCGAGGAAAGGCAAAAAAGCUGCUUCUAUGAUCCAGCUGCCUCAGCAGCCUCGGGUUCAAGACCGUAUAGAUAUCCCCAGUGCGGCAAAAUGGCAUAUCGCCGGUGAACCAAUCCUACCUAAAGCAGCGAUAGGGGCCAGAUUCGGCAAUGUAAGGAGACUUCAUGACGAUGUGCUGCGGAGAGAGAAAGGCCUCCUUGCCUCGGAAAAUCCAGGAUACCCACUCUACGUGGUUAAUGUGCCGCGGCAAUUGUCGUACGUCGACACAUUCCCCGCGGAGAAGUUCUUCCUUUGAUUCGAUUACAUCUUCGACAUGUUUCACUGGAAGAAGCUGGAUUUUACGUUUGACCGCCUUUAUGCCUUGCACAGGAACUACCUCAUCGGGGUUGAGUAGAUACCUUUUAUCUGUGCCGCUGACCCAUACUUCAUGCACGAGGGCUUCUUGGCAGUCUGCGCAAAGCACUGUGAAUACGCGAGGGACUAUCUCGUCAAUUUCAUGCUCGCCAAUAAGGACAAGGAGGCGAUUCUCGUGCCUUAUCAUCCCCUGUAAGUCAUCCGCGCGGAUAUCCUUCCUUCGAUUUCAAUCAUUCAUUUGCACGGUGGAGGCUAAUUAAUUUGGGGUGUACUUAUUUUGCGCAGCGGCAGGCACGCCGUCCUCAUCAUCCUCUACCCCCGAUACUCCCAUGCUCUUUACUUGGACUCGUGGAAGAACAUUACCAAAAAGGAUUACACCCACAUCAAGUCUGUUCUCGACAGUGCUAUCUUUUACUACGGCAAACGGGGUGGAGAGGUCAAUGACAAGAAGACAAGGGACGGCAGGCCCGCCUUCAACCAUAAGAUCGACUUCUGCUGCAUCCAGCAACCGAGUGAUUCUCUUAAUGAUGGAUUCUAUGUCCUACACCACAUGCUGGAGUACAGACAGGAUCACCAGAACCUUCGCAUGUCACCUAAAUCCAGCGAUGCCCAUAUUCUGCAAUGGGCAAAGGACUUAGGAGAUAUCGAGGAUCAUCGACUUCGAGCUGAGUUCUAUCACAUCCAGCGCGAACUUGCCCAAAUCAUCAUGAAGGAGGUCAUCGAAAAAAUAGGGAUGUUCUACGAAGAAGGACAAAUGUCGCGGGAAGACGUCCGAACACGCGUAGCCUCUCAGCGUCUCGACAUGAAGCCUUUCACUAGGCUCGGGGACUAUCUCCCUGACAUGGAUGGAUGGCACGACAUGUUGGAGUGACUAUCGAUAUAUGACAAUGUGUCCGUUUAGUCCAUACUUUCUGUAUGACAAAACUUUGAGUUAUGCACGGCGAAACUUUAUUUCUGAUGUAAUUAAACCGUCCUCCUCGACUAGCGAAGAUCACUCUAGUUAGGGCAUUUUGGGUACGAUGAACUUUGUUAUUUAUGCUUAUCAUAUGUUGCUUCUAUUUUUGCCAAGUCUGUCUCUUUCUGUUGCUCAACUAUAUAUGUUGCAUAUCAUCGACUCAUGUGACGAUGCAGGUGCAUAGAUCAUCGAUGGCGAAGAAGUGCUACGCCAGGAGUAUACGACGAGUGGCCGGAGUGUCAGGCCCAGGUGUACCGGUUUCCGGUUUUCGGGCGACAGCCAGUAGUUAGUUUAGGUUCACGCUAAUGCGAGAGAGGGAUACGAACUCAUGUACUGCAUAGUUCCGCUCUCACUCAUAGUGAUAGCUCUUCUCACGUAUAUCAUUGUUUAGAUGGAUGAGGAUGUAGUUGCAAGUAAUUGAGACUUGUAUCGCUAUUUUCAAGAUGAUGACGAGAGGCCACUUUGUGUUGGAUGAUGAUUAUGAUGAUGACAUGAUUUGAUGAGACUACUUGUAUGUAUAUGCUAUGAUUACAUUUGUAUGUGUAUGAUAUGCUAAAGAUUAUUGUAUAAAGCCUAUUCAAAUACAAAACAAAUAUGCAGAAAAAAACAGAAACUAAUAAAACUAGCAGUAGCAAGGGGAACAAAGUUAGCAGUAGCGCUCCCUUACCAGUAGCGCUUCCUGCUAAAAGGCGCUGCAGAUAUUAGCAGCAGCGCUCUGCACUAAAGCGCGCUACUGCGAGACAUGUAUAGCAGUAGCGUGGGACGACAGGCGCUACUGCUACACGUUAGUUGUAGCGCCUUAUCAGUAGCGCGUCGUCCCGCGCUACUGAUAGACAAAAUAUCCGCGCUACUGCUAGGGUUUUCCCUAGUAGUGAGUGUGCUUGCGCCCAAUAAUGUCCGUCCAUACAUAUUACUGAAUCCUUUCCUAGCGUGCCUUUUCCACCCAGUCUGCCCUCAUGCCGCGAUUCGGGAACACCAAUCGGCUUAAGGUCAGGAAUAAAGUCAACACAAAACUCAAUGACCUCCUCUGUUUCAUGGCCCUUGGAGAUGCUUCCUUCUGGCCUAGCACGGUUAUGAACAUAUUUCUUUAAGGCUCCUAUGAACCUCUCAAAGGGGAACAUAUUGUGUACAAAUACAGGACCCAGGAUGGCAAUCUUGUCGACUAGGUGAACUAGGACAUGUGUCAUGAUAUUGAAGAAGGAUGGUGGGAACACCAACUCGAAACUGACAAGACAUUGCACCAAAUCAUUAUGUAACCUUGGUAGGAUUUUUGGAUCAAUUACAUUCUGACGGAUUGCAUUGAGGAAUGCACAUAGCCUCACAAUGGCUAGUCGAACAUUCUCCAGUAGAAGCCCCCUCAAUGCAACCGGGAGCAAUUGCGUCAUAAUCAGAUGGCAGUCAUGAGACUUUAGGUUGUGGAACUUUUUCUCUGCCAUAUUUAUUAUUCCCUUUAUAUUCAAUGAGAAGCCACACGGGACCUUCAUACUGAGCAGGCAUUCAAAGAAGAUUCUCUUCUCUUCUUUGGGAAGAGCGUAGCUGGAAGGACCUUGAUACUGCUUUGGAUGCAUGCCGUCUUUUUCGUGCAUACAUUGCUGGUCCUCCCGUGCCUCCGGUGUAUCUUUUGUCUUCCAAUACACGCCCAAGAAGCCUAGCAGGUUCAUGCAAAGAUUCUUCAUCAUGUGCAUCACGUCGAUGGUAGAGCAGACCUCUAGGUCUUUCCAAUAGGGUAGGUCCCAAAAUAUAGAUUUCUUCUUCCACAUGGGUGCGUGUCCGUUAGCGUCAUUCGGAACAGAUUGUCUGUCAGGACCCUUUCCAAAGAUUACUUUUAAAUCCUUGACCAUAUCAAGUAUAUCAUCACCAGUACGAUGGAAGGCUUCUUCCGGUGAUCUGCCUCAUCUUUGAAAUGCUUGCCUUUCUUUCUUAAGAGAUGCUUAAUCGGAAGAAAUCGACGAUGUCCCAGGUACACAUUCUUCUUACAUUUACCAAAAUAUAUACUUUCGGUAUCAUCUAAAUAGUGUGUGCAUGUGUGGUAUCCCUUGUUUGUUUGUCUUGAAAGGUUACUAAGAGCAGGCCAAUCAUUGAUGGUUACAAACAACAAUGCUCGUAGGUCAAAUUCCUGCUGUUUGUGCUCAUCCCACACAUGCACAACUUUUUUGUCCCACAACUGUAAAAUUUCUUCAACAAAUGGCCUUAGGUACACAUUAAUGUCGUUGCCAGGUUGCUUGGGGCCUUGGAUGAGCACUGGCAUCAUAAUGAACUUUCGCUUCAAGCACAACCAAGGAGGAAGGUUAUAGAUACAUAGAGUCACAGGCCAGGUGCUAUGAUUGCUGCUCUGCUCCCCAAAAGGAUUAAUGUCAUCUGCACUUAAACCAAACCAUACAUUCCUUGCGUCAUCUGCAAAGUCCCGCCACUUUCUCUUGAUUUUUCUCCACUGCGACCCCUCAGCGGGUACUCUCAACUUCCCCUCUUUCUUACUGUCUUAUUUGUGCCAUCGCAUCAACUUGGCAUGAUCUUUGUUUUGGAACAAACGUUUCAACUAUGGUAUUAUAGGAGCAUACCACAUCACCUUGGCAGGAAUCCUCUUCCUCGGGCGCUCGCCCUCAACAUCACCAGGGUCAUCGCGGCUGAUCUUGUAGUGCAAUGCACCACAUACCAGGCAUGCAUUCAAAUUCUCGUACUCCUCACCGCGGUAGAGAAUGCAGUCAUUAAGGCAUGCAUAUAUCUUUUGCACCUCUAAUCCUAGAGGGCAGACAACCUUCUUUGCUUCGUACGUACUGUCGGGCAAUUCGUUGUCCUUUGGAAGCAUCUCCAUUAACAUUUCCAGCAACUUCUCAAAUCCCUUGUCAGAUACACCAUUCUAUGUCUUCCAUUGCAGCAAUUCCAGUGUGGUACCCAGCUUUUUCUUGUCAUCUUUGCAAUUUGGGUACAACAAUUUCUUGUGAUCCUCUAACAUGCGCUGCAACUUCAACUUCUCCUUUUCACUUGCGCAGUUUCUCUUUACAUCAGCAAUGGCCCAACCAAGAUCAUCAGCGGGCUCAUCUAAUGCCUCUUCUUCAACUUCUUCCAUCAUUGUAGUACCAUCGUAUUCAUGGAACCCAGGAUAGCUGUCAUCAUCCUCUUCUUCUUCAUUCUCUUCCAUUAGAACCCCUCUUUCACCGUGCUUGGUCCAAUAGUUAUAGAUGGACAUGAAACCGGACGUAAACAUGUGGACGUGAAUGUCUCUUGAGCUAUAGUAAUUCUUAUCAUUCUUACAGACAGCACAUGGACAACACAUAAAACCAUCGCGCUUGUUUGGCCGCAAGCAGAAACGUAUGCACGCCAUCAAUGAGCUGGGGAGAGCGUCGCUCAUCGUACAUCCAUUGCCGGCUCAUCUUAAUUACACAACACCGAAAAGACCAAAUUAAUACAAGUUCAUACAUAAAGUUGAUACACACUUAAUCUCAUAAAAAAUAACAUACAACUAUCUAGCUAAAGAAUUUAAAUGCAACAACAAAUGCGAUCAAGAUCUCAACUAAGGUAACAAUUGAUCUGACAGCGUAGUGAUACCAAGCCUCUUUAUUAAUGGCAUAUUUUCUAAUCUUUCUAAUCUUCAAGCGCAUUGCAUCCAUCUUGAUCUUGUGAUCAUUGACGACAUCGGCAACAUACAACUCCAUUUUCAUCCUCUCUUCUUCAAUUCUUUUCAAUUUUUCUUUCAAACACUCGUUUUCUUUUUCAACCAAAUUUAAUUUCUCGACAAGAGGGUCGGUUGCAAUUUCCGGUUCACAUACCUCCUAGAUAAAAAUAUCUACUAUGUCAAGUUGAUGGGCAUAAUUGUCAUAAACGCAAAAUGCAGCAAAUAGUUGUAAAAGAUAAUAUACCACAUCUGAAUCGUAAACCGGACGAGGGCCGACGGGGAUGGAUAUCAAGACCAUGGCACUAUGUAUAACAAAAAAUCAUACAAGUAAGAAAAUUAUACAAGUAACUAUCUAAAUCAUACAAAUAAGAAUUUUUUAUAAAAAGGAUAAGAAAAGAGGCUCACCAAGGUGGUGCCGGCGACAGGACGGCGCGGGCGAUCGACGGUGGUUAGGACGGGGAUGAGAAGGCACUAAGUAGACCACACCUACACAUAUGCAAACUAAGAAGUUAAUUUGAGCUCAAAUUGCAUAUAAAUCAAAUAAACUCCCACAUAAUUACUCCCAAACUAAAACUCACAAAUCACUAUACUUAUAGAGCAUUGCACAAGCUAAUCUAGGAAUGAGAGAUGAAAGGACAAAGUUGCUAACCUUUGUGAACACUUGGAUGGAUGAGGUGCCUUCAAAUCCUGACAAAUCUUGGCAAAAAUGGAGGAUGAGCUCGAGCAAGGGGAAUAACAAAGGAGGGAAAGGGGAAAAUAGAGACAAUGUGCUCGGGCUGGACGAAAGGUUUAUAUAGGGACAUCUUUAGUCCCGGUUGGUUAUACAAACCAGGACUAAAGGUAUAGCUCUAGUCCCAGUUUUUGAUACAAACCGAGACUAAAUGGGCUCGUGGGGGCCCCAGCCUGAUGCCAACCUGCCACCACCCCUUUAGUCCUGGUUUGUAUCACUAACAGGGACUAUAGGUACAAAAUGAACCGGGACUAAUGAUGCCCGUGCCAUCGACCGCUCCUAGCCGUUGGAACCGGGUCUAAUGGUCACAUUAUUCCCGGGCCAAAAUCAAACCGGGACUAAUGAUCCAAACGCAAGGUCUGUUUUCUACUAGUGACACUUUGGCUCCUGGUUGUAUAUGUGCCCUAUAUGGGAAUUUUUUUAAUAUUUAAAUAAAAAGUCAAAAAAGGUAAGAACUAUUUUGACAAAAAAACUUAACUUACUUUUGGACUAGUAUAUAAAUUUUCACGAUAAAAAAACAAAGUUGACUUCACAGCAAAAAAGACAAAAUUUAUUUGCUAUUAUAGGCCACUAUUCACACUAUUUUGGCCAAAAAUUUGUCUUUUUUGAAAAGAAGUCAAAGGGAGAUUCUUUUUGUGUGUGGAUUUUUUCUCACGAGUACAAUAAAAGGUCAAGUUUAUUUCCAAAAUAUUUUCAGGUAUUUUUGACUUUUUGUUGAAUUACUAAAAAAAUCUAUAUAGGGUGUAGAUGUCCGCACAAACCAAAAAUCUACCUCCGGGGAGUGGGCUCUCAUGUAAGAGCCUAGCUAUAUGUGUGCUUCUAGGUAGACAAAUAAAUAUGAAGAAAAAGAUAGAGAAGGUGAUACUUAUAGCAAACUUUAUUGUAUGAGUGACUACAAGUAAUGACUAUAUAUACAUGGCAACAUCAUAUAGCCAGCAGAUGGAUAUAUUAUUAACCAUCUCUAUGCUAGUCGCCUCGAAAAUAAAUAUCCUUUUCGCCGCGGUGUUCCUCUAACCCUUUUGUUGCCUGUUGUCGCUGCCCAGACCAUCCUCCGUCGCCACCCACAUCCGGUGUGGCAGGCACACCGUCUCGUCGUAUUGUCGUGCUUGCGCCACCUCUGUUCCGACCAUGGUUUUUUGAAAUGAAUAAGAAUUUUGGGUAAAAGAGGCAGCCGAGGUGGUCUCCAUGGGUCGGGCCCAACGGGCCCCGUGCGGUAGGACGCUCUCUCUCUCCCCUCUCGUGGAAGCCCUGGACACCUCCCUGACCCCGUCUUUUGCCCGGUGAGUCCUUCCGCGCGGUAAAAAUUCCUAUAAAAUCUCAUUGUUGUUUCGAUCUACGUAUCACAUUUUUUUCUUCAUGUUGUCGUCUCGAGUUAAUUCUGUUAGGGUUCCGAAGCUCUAGAUUGACAUAUCUUCUCAAGAGUCUAGCAAUAGGAGCUAUGUUGCUCGGCAAACUUGUGGUACACGCCCUUAUCAAGAGGUAGAUGACCACGGGUGGACGACGGACGACAAGAUUGCCGCUAAUAUUAGGGAGCCAAUGAGAGAAGCCGCAAGCGAUGAGGAAGAUGUCCCUCUACCUCAACUUGGGAAUAUGUUUGUUGAGUUCAAGAGGUCAAGUAUAAUUAAUCAAAACACUCCUCGCCCCAUGCAGGAAAGUGUGCUCCCAAAACCGAACACUAGCAUUCCUCAUGUUGUCACUAAGGCACUAAGGUCUACAGAUUAGAUUUACGCCAAAUACAAAGCCCUAGGGGGAGAAGGUUGCUUCACUUGAGGAGGAGAAUCGUAUUCGGCGUGGGAUCAUUGCUCGUAGAAUAUCUUCAACACCGCCAAAGGACCAAGCAUGAGUAUAUGUGUAAAGGCACUCCCAUUAGCUUGUUCCAAGCUUGGGGGAGGUCCUCGGUAUCUUUAUCACCAUCAUUAUCGUUAUUAUUAUCAUUUAUCUUGAUCCUUAUUUAUAUCAUGGUUUAAAAAAAAUAGUAUGAGAUAGUUUGUAAUGUGUUCUAUCACUCCUUCAGAGCAAUUAUCUAUGUAUCCUUUGGUGUGAGAUUACAAAAUAAAGAGUUGGCAUGAGACAUCUUUUUGCUUUUUUGUUAUUAUGUAUUCUAGCAUUGCAAAUCAAUCUCAUAUGCUGAUCUUGUGAGAAGUCAUGGCUUUACAUUGAGUUUAAAGAAUAAAAUCUCUUGAGGCUUAGUAAACAUAGCAUCGGUCAUUUAAACAACUCAUGGAAGCUUAGUACAAGGAAGAGAAACUUCACAUGUAAAUACACUAUCUUAGACAUCUUUUAUGGUGGUGAACUCUCAAUGAAUAUUUUCAAACUUGAUAAAAUAGUUGAUGCUGGACAAGUAAGACAAUAUAAUGGGCUUCCCGUAAUUUUUGAAGGUCGGCCUCUAGAAUCCAAAAAGUUACAUAACUCGGUAAUUAGGGCACAUUGUUUUGAGUGGGAAGUCGCCACUUGAGUCCCCUGGACAUAACAUAGAGGGAUGGUUCGACAUGUAGUAGAUUGAAAGUUCAUUAAAGGUGAGACAAUUAUAUGCAAGAUAUUGGGGAAUAAAAUGGUCUCGUCUUCGGAUUGUGGUACAACGAUUCUCGACCAUUUGGCUACCUCUAGGAGAAAACCCUGAUGUAGGUAGGCCAUUUUUAUUUAAGUGGUGAAACUAACAAAUACAAAAAAAAAAGUAGAUCAACCAAUACACUCAACUAUUGGCAUAUUUUACGAAUGAGAAUUGACCCGUGAUAAAAUCUCAUGUUUGAUGCUAUGUAGUACACCCUCUGUUCCUGAAUGUAAGAUGUUUGAACUGCAAAAACGUCUUACAUUUAGGAACAAAGGUAGUAUAUCUCAAUGAUGGGAAUUAUUCUUUCAAUGUGAGGCAUGUUCUCAUUGAUAGUAAAGACGUCAAUGGUGACUUCAUUAAUCUUAAAGCUCAAUGCAAAUACUCUCUACUUUGAAUUCCAUGCGAGCGUGUGCGUGUGAUGGGGGUGUGCGUGCAUUGGUUCGUCUAUACUGUAGUCGGUGCUUUAGGAAAAAAAAAAACUAGUAAGUGUGUUAGCAAAAAAAGAUAGGUCACUUUUGCGAGAGGUGCACUUUGCUCUGGUCCUUGGGCCGCAAACGACAACCCAGCCCAAACAUCCCACCGCUCCAUCUGUGAAGAGCAAUUAGUUAAACAGCGCUCCUUCGGGAGCCUCGCAACGAUCAGGGCCACUUGGCGCGCUCUUAGCCAUUCACCACGUGUCGCGCUCUGAACGCUCCCUUUAGAUUUUAUUUUUUUUGUUUUUUGCACGCGUUUUCGGCUUUUUUUAAACGGUUUUUUCCGGGGUUUUCGAUGUUUUGGUUUUCCCCCGUCUUCCUUAGCUUUUCGAUCAAAAAAAAUUUGAAAAAAAGAAAUUGCGCGAAAAAAUCAUGUUUUCUUUUUUUUCCCUUUCGCGAAAGUCACGGUUUUUCUUCCGCGGGAGGCACGGUUGUGCUUUAGCGAGAGUCACGGCCGUGCCUUUAUGGAAACGGGAAAAAAACACGUUUUCUGUUUUUUUUUCUUUCGCGAGAGUCACGGUUUUUCUUCCGCGAGAGGCACGGUUGUGCUUUCGUGAGUCACGACCGUGCCUCUCGGAAAGGGAAAAACAAAACGCGUUUUCUGUUUUCUUUUCUUUCGCGAGAGUCACGGUUUUGCUUCCGCGAGAGUCACGGCCGUGACUCUCGCGAAAGAAAAAAAACGCCGUGCCUCUCGGAAACGGAAAAAAAAACGCGUUUUCUGUUUUUUGUCCUUCCACGAGAGUCACGGUUUUGCUUCUACGAGAGGCAAGGUUGUGAUUUCACGAGAGGCACGGCGUGCCUCUUUCGGAAAGGGGAAAAAACCGUGCUCCCGGUUCGGUUUUUUCGUCCGGUUUGUUUUAUAAAAAAAUCGUCAAAACCUAUCAACAUGGAAUCUAGUUUUAAAGAUCUCGACACUAGGAAUCCUAUGGUGAAAACGGUUCGUGAUUUGGACGCACGGUUUAAGAGAUAAAACAUCUUGAAUAAACGGAUCUACAAAAAAGGGAAAACUCCCAGGUUGCGACAAGUGGCGCGCUGCAUGUGCACCACUUGUCACGACCUGGGAAAGUGGAGUGUUCUUUGCAACGAGUACUUCUUAUUUAGUGAUUUCGCCAUCUGUGUGUACUGCACGUGAAAUCCUAUCUGCCGCAUUUUACCCUAAAAUAUAUAUGCCGCAUUCUGCGGCAGUUUUCGUUUUUUAGGUGCACAUUCUGCGGUAGAUUGUAGCUGCUCCGCACAGAGGCGAGCGACCAGCGAAAGAGAUGGGCCGGCCCGUAAUGAGCACGCUACAGUAACCUGUUCUGGGACCUUCUAGUAGGUUCCUUUCUCCGGUUUUGGGAAUCUUCUAGAACGUUCCUGAACUGUUUUUUCUUUUUCGUUUUUUUUUAUUUUUCUUUUGUCCUGAUUAUUUAUUUAUUCUCUCCUUAUUUCGUUUUUUAUCUCCUUUUUGGUUUUUUAAUUCUGUUUCGCUUUUUGCUCAUUAUUUUCCAAAAAAAUUAGAAUUUAAAAAUUGUUCGACACUUUUACAAAAAAAUCAAAAAUUCAAAAAGGUUAGAAUUUUCACUUUACAAAUGUUCCCUUUUUUACAAAUUAAAAAAAUGUUCGACAAUUUCAAAAAAUGUUCCCACUUUCCAAUCUGCUCACAAAUUCAGAAAAUGUUCAUAUUUUCAAAUUUUGCUCCCAAAAUGUUUGGGGAAUAUAAAAAAUAUUCACAUUUUUUAUUUUUCUUUCACAAAUUCAGAAAACGUUUGGAAAUUUCAAAAAUAUGCCUGGUUUCCAAGUUUGUGUACAAAUUCAAACAAUGUUCAUGUUUUUUAAAGUUUGUUCGCAAAUUCAAAAAUAAUUUGGGGUAUUUCUAAAAAUAUCGGCAUUUUGAAAAAAAAAAUCGAAAAUGAUCAAGUUGUCAAUUGUUGUUCUUGUUUUGCAAAAAAUGUUUUGCAUUAUGAAAAAUUGUUCGUAAUUUGGAAAAAUGUUCUCGUUUUCAACUUUGUCGCUUUUUUGAAAAAAUGUUUGCGUUUUCACAAAAUGUUCAAUUUUUUUAAUAUUUGUUCAGAAAUUUGAAAACUUUCACGUUUCAAAAACUAUUUACUGUUUGAAAAAAAAAGAUCGCGUUUGAAAUUCCAGAAAAAUUUAAAAUCUAUUGCGGCUUAUGGUUCAUAGAAACCGGGCUGCCAUUCUGGACAUCAAAUCUAAGGAAUUACAGUGGUGGCGACGUUGCUCACUUGCAAGUUGUCCUCGGUUCGACGUCUCACACGGACUUUUGUUUUUGAGAGUUUUUCUGUGAAGUGUGUUUAAGUUUUGCCGUUGUUGUUUGUUCCUUUAAGUAGCACGCUGCAGAUGUAGCACUAGAGGUUGUCUGUCGCAGCAGCACAGUAAUCUGCCACAGUGUGCCGUCGCUGGCGUGGCAUAUGCCCCGAGAUAUUCCUUCAUUCCUUUUUCUUUUGUGUGCGAAUUCGCAGCGCCCUCCCUCCUAGUGGUACUUCCGGCAAGUAUGAGGAGCGACACUCCCACUCCCGAUCCAGGCAUGCGCAUGUGCUCCGCUACAUCUGUGUCUGGCUUUUUCUAUGCCGACUCCGGCCGGCCGGACGCGGACGCGACCGAUCCAGAUCCCAGCUGCCAUGCCAUGCGUCUCGCGGCAAGUUCCAACGUGCGGCGUCACCGGAGAUCGCUGGAUCUGUGCUUUCAGCUGGUCUUUCUUGCCGUCAAUACCGCCGUGGAUCUGCCUCUGGCUGGCUGGCCGUGCAGGUGCAGGAGCGGGAUCUGGGGAGUGAUUCGUGGGAGGGCAGGUGAGACCUCCCCCGGAACGGCAAGGAGGGAUCGUAAUAUGCUCGGGACGUUUUGUAUAUGCUGAUGCUGUCACGUGGUGUGGCGCCGUGGGAAAUGCAAUGCGUGCCGGUCCGAUCAAGUUGAUGUAGGUACUACUGCUGCUGCCGGAAUCGGAAUUGAAAAUGCCCGGUCGUCUUUCUGGGAAAGGAGAAAAGAAUGGCCUGCUUCGCUUCUAGGAGUAGUUGGUGGUGGUGUUGAGUUGGUCGUUUUGUUUUUAUUAAUUAUUAAGCGAGGUGUGCUGUUGGGGUGUUGGCGACUGAUCUGAUCUGAUCACAGCUCAGUCGGUAGGUCACAACAACCGAUGGGAUGGGAUGGGAUGGGAUAUCCAUGCGAUCGCGACGUCUACGGUGGUUCCGACUUCCGAGUUGCUCACAAAUCUCUCUCUCUCUCUCUCUCUUCUCACUCGUCACUACCCACUACUACUAUUAGGAGUGUCACACAACACAAGAGUGGUAGUGCACAAACUGAGGCACCAUCUGUAAUACGUGUGCGCGCAGGCACGCAGGUUGGCAGGCGCAGUAGUUUCUUCCCGCUUUCAGCCCAACAGUUUUAAUUACGUUAGGUAAACAACGAUCGAAAGAGACGAACCAACGGGCACUACCGUCGGUAUUCUACGGACGUACUCCUAUGUGAUAUGAUAAUCGUACAAUCGCCGUCGAUGACACCAAGACGGCCAGACCCAACCCAUCCGUCUCAUAUUCUCAUCCUGGUGACGUGACGACCGGAUCCGGAUGCGCAGACCAACUUCAUCUCCUGCUCCUUCCUUCUGGAACAAUGCACGAUCUCCCGGUGGCCGGGUAGCGUACGAAACACGGGUGCCGGCAUCAUUCGGCCGUUCCGGCCGGACGUGGACAGCGCGCGGCGGCAGGUGGGAGAGCAAAGGCACGCACCGUGGCGGCACGGACGGCCGAAUGAUUGCGCUGCCGCCGCUGCUUUCCUUCUCUCCGGCCUACGUACGUACGCACGCACGUCGGUGGUAUAUGCAACAUUUUCUUUUUCUUUUUGGAACUGUGGUACGUACGUACGUGCGUGCGUGCAGCUUUUGCAAGUUGGCGCUCCCCGACGAUGCAUGGAUGGAUGGACGUACGCUUGGCGGUUGCGGCGGGCCAGCCGUGACCACGUUACCCUCUCGGAUCAGCGGCGGUCGGCCGUGAUCGGCCUGGCGCCCAUGCCCACGUUUGGAAGUGUCGGGGGCGGGGCAGGGCACGGUGGGGAGCGUGCCGCCCGCCCGCCCGGCCCCGGAUGUGCCUCUCCAUCGGUUGCGGUUUUCUACGGAGCCGGAGAACCGACGGCUGCGCGUCCACAUCAGACCUCUCCCGUGGAAGCUCGGGAUGCAAAUGGGCAUGUCCGCAACAUUAGGCGGCGUUUGCCGGUCACUGGAUUAGAGCAACUCAAGCACAGCCGUCCUAUCGACAAUUACCAUCCGUCGCAUAAAGCGCGGACACAGAGCCGUCGUAUCUCAACCUUCAUGAAGAAUUCCCCGUCUUCUCAUUCAAACAUUUCGAACGCCGCCAAAAUUUGACAUUUGACACAUCAAUGCAAGCAAUGGACAUCGCCUUUGACAUUUUGAAUGAAGGCGACAUGCCCAAAUCACAUGCUGUCAUUGUGUGCACCGUCCCCUUUCACCGGCAUUUGCAACAUUCCCUUCUUCGACGUGUGCAUUGGGCUCUUCUUCGAGGUUCCUCAAACGUAUGAUGAUGUUCUACGGCUUUGCCCAAAAUUAUCGAGCCACUGGAUCCAUUGUGCUCGGAUUCAUCAUGAUGAACUGAUUCUUGAUGUUCGUGCGGUUAUCUCUCGCCUGAUUUGCCUGAAUUUGGAGCCUACGCGACUCCAUCUCGGUCUUAAGUUGGAGCCUCUUCUCCUCAUUGUUUCAUUUCUUGCCCACAUCAACUCAUCGACCUUUUUUUUCCUCUAGUCAGGCUGACCCGUGCUAAGUGGUGGAAUGGUACAUCUAGGCACAUUUUUCGUUUCAUCCUAACGAUCAACGUCAUGGGUGCCAUCGUCCAUCUCCGGAGAGGAAUUGACGCCCUACAUAGAUUUUUGUUGAUUGGUCCUUCACGGCGAUCAUAUUGAGAGAGAGAUAUAUUGCCAUGCCCGGAUAAGAGCAACAUGCUCGGUCUUGAGAGAGAGAUAUUGACAUGCCCAGUCUAGAGUACUUGAGAGCACUCAAUGCUCAGGAUACUCAGAGGCUUUUGGAGAUGAACAAAGCCCGUGGGUUUCCAGGUAUGCUUGGGUCUAUCGACUGCAAGCACUGGAAGUGGAAGAAUUGUCCUACAACAUGGCAUGGACAGUUCAAAGGACGCUCCAAGGAUGCCACCAUCAUUCUUGAGGCCUGUAAGUGCAUAUAGUGCCCCCUUAGUGGUUUUGAAGUAUUGAAGACAAAUGGGUUAAGGGACUAUUGUGUUUAUGAGUGUACACAAGAGUUAUAGUCCCUGAAGAUUUGUUUUAACCGACGAAAGAUGACCCCUAAAAAUGUAUUUUUUUAAGUGAAGAAUUUGGCGUGGCCUUUGAAGAAAUUGACAUGAAAAAUUGGAAGCUUGAAGACUUUGUUUUCGUAAUUUCUUUCUUCUUAUUCGAGUCGUAAAAAACACCGUACUAUUAAAGGGGGUCUAGGUGAUACAUAAAUCGUAUUUCCGAAGUGAUGCUCAUAACCUAUACAAAACCUACUUCUUCGAGUGAAGACUUUGGAAAUCUCCGGCAAUUCUGACGAAUUUGUCAGUGACAGAGACAAGAUUCUUCUGGUCACUGACGAAUUUGGUCUUAGUGAGGAGUUAUGAUUUUGCCAGUGCGAUCUACCUGUUGUGAGGAAAUUGAGUGCCCCAACAAAUUUGAGAGUCCAAAUUCCGACAGUUACUUCACAGGGUGCCAGCUGUCGUGUGGAUUGUUAUCCUGACAACGGUCAUGUUUGAAGGGGCAUUUAUGACAAUUCAUGUUGGAUUGCUCUGGCUAUAAAUAACCGCCCCUCUGAUUGACUCUGAUAUACAUUCUGAAGAAUUUCAACUGAAGACUUUCAUUAUGUUGUUUUUCAUUUUUUUCAGUUCAUCUUCUGUAUGCUUGAAUGCUUGUAUGAUUGCAUGUUCUUCACCUGCAUCUGUCUUGUAUGCAUGUUUUACGUUUGUGUGAUGAACUAGUCUCGCUAAUGUUUCUAUUUCUUUACUGGGAUCCUCGUCAAAGUCUUCGGAGUUUGAUGCAUUUCUAAAAAUCUCCCAUUCACCCCCCCCCCCUCUGGGAGUAAACCUGGGCUUUCAUGGUUGUUGUCGAUAAGGAGACAUGAAUUUGGCAUGCAUAUUUUGUGAUGCCUGAAUCUUGCAAUGACAUCAAUGUGCUCAACCGAUCACCUCUUUUUGCCAAGUUAGCCAAUGGAGAAAUUCCACCAAUGACCUUUGAAGUAAAUAGCCGCACCUACAACUAUGGGUACUACCCAUGCGGAUGGGAUUUAUCCGAAGUGGAGCACUUUUGUGAAGCCAAUCCAAACCUCCCAAGGUAAGAAGGAACUCUAUUUUCACGAUGCUCAAGCGGUGAGUAGGAAAGAUGUUGAGUAGGCAUUUGGGAUUUGCAAUCCAAAUUUUCUAUUGUGCGAGGACCGGGGAUCAGAAAAACCUUUGGUAUAUCAUAAUUGCUUGUGUGAUCAUGCACAACAUGAUCAUUGAGAAUGAGCGUGGGCAGGAUUUGGGUUACACCUUCUAUCACCUCAUGGGCGUACGCGUUCGGUCGAUUAGAAGAGAGGACCGAGUCAUACGUUCCAUGGAGGUGUACCAUGACAUUAGAGAGGUCGAUACACACAAUGAUUUUCAGACAUAUGUCAUGGAGGAGUGGUGGAAAUUCCACCAAUGACCUUUGAAGUAAAUAGCCGCACCUACAACUAUGGGUACUACCCAUGCGGAUGGGAUUUAUCCGAAGUGGAGCACUUUUGUGAAGCCAAUCCAAACCUCCCAAGGUAAGAAGGAACUCUAUUUUCACGAUGCUCAAGCGGUGAGUAGGAAAGAUGUUGAGUAGGCAUUUGGGAUUUGCAAUCCAAAUUUUCUAUUGUGCGAGGACCGGGGAUCAGAAAAACCUUUGGUAUAUCAUAAUUGCUUGUGUGAUCAUGCACAACAUGAUCAUUGAGAAUGAGCGUGGGCAGGAUUUGGGUUACACCUUCUAUCACCUCAUGGGCGUACGCGUUCGGUCGAUUAGAAGAGAGGACCGAGUCAUACGUUCCAUGGAGGUGUACCAUGACAUUAGAGAGGUCGAUACACACAAUGAUUUUCAGACAUAUGUCAUGGAGUGGUGGAAAUGGCAUAGGGAUCAAGCCUGCUAGUUUUAUUUCUUUGUUUGUUGUAUUGUGCAAGAACUUUGUUGUAUUUUAUGUUGCAUUUCGUGUUGCGGAUUUGAUAAAUUAUGUAAUAAUUUGUGUUGGAAAUAUGCCCUAGAGGCAAUAAUAAAAUGGUUAUUAUUAUAUUUCCUUGUUCAUGAUAAUUGUCUAUUGUUCAUGCUAUAAUUGUGUUAUCCGGAAAUCGUAAUACAUGUGUGAAUACAUAGACCACAACAUGGGACGCGGCUUUUUUGCUCGUAUGUGCAUAUGCACCCAUUGUCGAAAACACACAUUUUGAAAAGUUGAAAAAUUCGGAACAAAAAUCCCGCGUGUAUAUCCGGACAUUUUAUGUCCGUUCACAAGGUUUCGGUGAAAAACGACGUUUUUUGUGGCUUGUGUAAAAAAGAUAAAGAAAUGCCUCAUGAAUAGUUAGAAUGAAGCAUCAGAAACUGUCUUUUUUACACAAGCCGCAAAAAACGUCGUUUUUCACCGAAACCUUGUGAACGGACAUAAAAUGUCCGGAUAUACACGCGGGAUUUUUGUUCCGAAUUUUUCAACUUUUCGAAAUGUGUAUUUCGACAAUGGGUGCAUAUGCACGUAGGAGCAAAAGGGAAUAUCCCCACAACAUGUCCCUAGUGAGCCUCUACUUGACUAGCUCGUUGAUCAAUAGAUGGUUACGGUUUCCUGACCAUGGACAUUGGAUGUCAUUGAUAACGGGAUCACAUCAUUAGGAGAAUGAUGUGAUGGACAAGACCCAAUCCUAAGCAUAGCACUAGAUCGUGUAGUUCGUUUGCUAAAGCUUUUCUAAUGUCAAGUAUCAUUUCCUUAGACCAUGAGAUCGUGCAACUCCCGGAUGCCGUAGGAAUGCUUUGGGUGUACCAAACGUCACAACGUAACUGGGUGACUAUAAAGGUGCACUACAGGUAUCUCCGAAAGUGUCUGUUGGGUUGGCACGGAUCGAGACUGGGAUUUGUCACUCCGUAUGACGGAGAGGUAUCUCUGGGCCCACUCAGUAAUGCAUCAUCAUAAUGAGCUCGAUGUGACCAAGUAGUUGGUCAUGGGAUCAUGCAUUACGGAACGAGUAAAGUGACUUGCCGGUAACGAGAUUGAACGAGGUAUUGGGAUACCGACGAUCGAAUCUCGGGCAAGUAACAUACCGAUUGACAAAGGGAAUUGUAUACGGGAUUGCUUGAAUCCUCGACAUCGUGGUUCAUCCGAUGAGAUCAUCGUGGAACGUGUGGGAGCCAACAUGGGUAUCCAGAUCCCGCUGUUGGUUAUUGGCUAGAGAGGUGUCUCGGUCAUGUCUGCAUGAUUCCCGAACCCGUAGGGUCUACACGCUUAAGGUUCGAUGACGCUAGGGUUAUAAGGAAGGUUUGUAUGUGAUUACCGAAUGUUGUUCGGAGUCCCGGAUGAGAUCCCAGACGUCACGAGGAGUUCCGGAUUGGUCCGGAGGUGAAGAUUUAUAUAUGGGAAGUCAUCAUACGGUCACUGGAAAUAUUCGGGGGUAUACCGGUAUUGUACCGGGACCACCGGAGGGGUUCCGGGGGUCCACCGGGAGGGUCCACCUGCCCCGGAGGGCCUUAGGGGCUGUAGGUGGAAGGGAACCAGCCCCUAAGUGGGUUGGGCGCCAUCCCCCCUAGGGCCCAUGCGCCUAGGGUUGGGGGGAACCCUAAAGGGGGGCGCCCCCCUUGCUUGGGGGGCAAGCCCCCUCCCCCUUGGCCGCCGCCCCCCUCUAGAUCUCAUCUAGAGGGGUCGGCCCCCUUCCCCCUUCUCCCUAUAAAUAGAGGGGUGGAGGGAGGGCUGCAGCACCACAUCCAAGGCGCAACCCCUCCCCUCCCCAACACCUCUCCUCCUCCGCGUGAGCUUGGCGAAGCCCUGCCGGAGAACUGCCACUCCACCACCACCACGUCGUCGUGCUGCUGUUGGAGCCUUCUUCCUCAACCUCUCCCUCCUCCUUGCUGGAUCAAGGCGCGGGAGACGUCACCGGGCUGCACGUGUGUUGAACACGGAGGCACCGUUGUUCGGUGCUUGGAUCGGAUUCUACCGCGAUCUGAAUCGCUACGUGUACGACUCCUCCAACCGCGUUCUUGCAACGCUUCCGCAUCACGAUCUUCAAAGGUAUGAGGAUGCACUCCCCUCUCGUUGCUAGUGAACUCCAUAGAUUGAUCUUGGUGAUGCAUAGAAAUUUUUUAAUUUCUGCAACGAUCCCCGACAGUGGCAUCAUGAGCUAGGUCUAUGCGUAGUUUCUAUGCACCAGUAGAACACAAGUUGUUGUGGGCGUCGAUUUUGUCAAUUUACUUGCCGUUACUAGUAUUAUCUUGAUUCGGCGGCAUCGUGGGAUGAAGCGGCCCGGACCGACCUUACACGUACGCUUACGUGAGACAGGUUCCACUGACUGACAUGCACUAGUUCCAUAAGGUGGUUAGCGGGUGUCUGUCUCUCCCACUUUAGUCGGAUCGGAUUCGAUGAAAAGGGUCCUUAUGAAGGGUAAAUAGAAAUUGGCAUAUCACGUUGUGGUUUUGGCGUACGUAAGAAACGUUCUUGCUAGAAACCUAUAGCAGCCACGUAAAAAUUUGCAACAACAAUUAGAGGACGUCUAACUUGUUUUUGCAGCAUGUGUCAUGUGAUGUGAUAUGGCCAGAAGAAUGUGAUGAAUGAUAUAUGUGAUGUAUGAGAUUGAUCAUGUUCUUGUAAUAGGAAUCACGACUUGCAUGUCGAUGAGUAUGAUAACCGGCAGGAGCCAUAGGAGUUGUCUUAAUUUAUUUAUGACCUGCGUGUCAACUGAAACGUCAUGUAAUUACUUUACUUUAUUGCUAACCGUUAGCCAUAGUAGUAGAAGUAAUAGUUGGCGAGACAACUUCAUGAAGACACGAUGAUGGAGAUCAUGGUGUCAUGCCGGUGACGAUGAUGAUCAUGGCGCCCUGAAGAUGGAGAUCAAAAGGAGCAAAAAUGAUAUUGGCCAUAUCAUGUCACUAUUUGAUUGCAUGUGAUGUUUAUCAUGUUUUACAUCUUAUUUGCUUAGAACGACGGUAGCCUAAAUAAGAUGAUCUCUCACUAAAAUUUCAAGAAUUGUGUUCCCCCUAACUGUGCACCGUUGCUAAAGUCCGUUGUUCCGAAGCACCACGUGAUGAUCGGGUGUGAUAGGUCCUAACGUUCGCAUACAACGGGUGUAAGCCAGAUUUACACACGCAAUACACUUAGGUUGACUUGACGAGCCUAGCAUGUACAGACAUGGCCUCGGAACACGGAAGACCGAAAGGUCGAACAUGAGUCGUAUAGAAGAUACGAUCAACAAGAAGAUGUUCACCGAUGAUGACUAGUCCAUCUCACGUGAUGAUCGGACACGGCCUAGUUGACUCAGAUCAUGUAUCACUUAGAUGACUAGAGGGAUGUCUGUCUGAGUGAGAGUUUAUUAAUAAUUUGAUUAGAUGAACUUAAUUAUCAUGAACUUAGUCUAAAAUAUUUACAGUAUGUCUUGUAGAUCAAAUGGCCCACGCUAAUGUCAACCUCAACUUCAACGCGUUCCUAGAGAAAACCAAGCUGAAAGACGAUGGUAGCAACUAUAUGGACUGGGUCCGGAACUUGAGGAUCAUCCUCAUAGCUGCCAAGAAAGCAUAUGUCCUUGAAGCACCACUAGGUGAAGCACCCGUCCCAGCAAACCAAGACGUUAUGAACGCCUGGCAAACACGUGUUGAUGAUUACUCCCUGGUUCAGUGCGGCAUGCUUUACAGCUUAGAAUCGGGGCUCCAAAAGCGUUUUGAGCAGCACGGAGCAUAUGAGAUGUUCCAAGAGCUGAAAAUGGUUUUCCAAGCUCAUGCCCGGGUCGAGAGAUAUGAAGUCUCCGACAAGUUCUACAGUUGUAAGAUGGAGGAGAAUAGUUCUGUCAGCGAGCACAUACUCAAAAUGUCUGGGUUACACAAUCGCUUAUCUCAGCUGGGAGUUAAUCUCCCAGAUGACGCGGUCGUUGACAGAAUCCUUCAGUCGCUCCCACCUAGCUACAAGAGCUUUGUGAUGAACUUCAAUAUGCAGGGGAUGCAAAAGACCAUUCCUGAGGUAUAUUCAAUGCCGAAAUCAGCGGAAGUGGAGAUCAAAAAGGAACAUCAAGUGUUGAUGGUCAAUAAAACACUAGUUUCAAGAAAGGCAAGGGUAAGAAGAACUUCAAGAAGGACGGCAAGGGGGUUGCCGCGCCCGGUAAGCCAGUUGCCGGGAAGAAGCCAAAGCAUGGACCCAAGCCUGAGACUGAGUGCUUUUAUUGCAAGGGAAACGGUCACUGGAAGCGGAACUGCCCCAAGUACUUAGCGGAUAAGAUGGCCGGCAAUACCAAAGGUAUAUGUGAUAUACAUGUUAUUGAUGUGUACCUUACCAGCGCUCAUAGUAGCUCCUGGGUAUUUGAUACCGGUGCGGUUGCUCAUAUUUGUAACUCAAAGCAGGAGCUGCGGAAUAAGCGGAGACUGGCGCAUGACGAGGUGACGAUGCGCGUCGGGAAUGGUUCCAAGGUCGAUGUGAUCACCGUCGGCACGCUACCUCUACAUUUACCUACGGGAUUAGUUUUAAACCUCAAUAAUUGUUAUUUAGUGCCAGCUUUGAGCAUGAACAUUGUAUCUGGAUCUCGUUUAAUGCGAGAUGGCUACUCAUUUAAAUCUGAGAAUAAUGGUUGUUCUAUUUGUAUGAGAGAUAUGUUUUAUGGUCAUGCCCCGCUGGUCAAUGGUUUAUUCUUGUUGAAUCUCGAACGUGAUGUUACACAUAUUCAUAGUGUGAAUGCCAAAAGAUGUAAGGUUGAUAAUGAUAGUCCCACAUACUUGUGGCACUGCCGCCUUGGUCACAUUGGUGUCAAACGCAUGAAGAAACUCCAUGCAGAUGGACUUUUGAAGUCUCUUGAUUAUGAAUCAUUUGACACGUGUGAACCAUGCCUCAUGGGCAAAAUGACCAAGACUCCAUUCUCCGGAACAAUGGAGCGAGCAACCAACUUAUUGGAAAUCAUACAUACUGAUGUGUGCGGUCCAAUGAGCGUUGAGACUCGCGGUGGUUAUCGUUAUGUUCUCACCCUCACUGAUGACUUAAGUAGAUAUGGGUAUGUCUAUUUAAUGAAACACAAGUCUGAGACCUUUGAAAAGUUCAAGGAAUUUCAGAGUGAGGUUGAGAAUCAACGUGACAGGAAAAUAAAGUUCUUACGAUCAGAUCGUGGGGGAGAAUAUUUGAGUCACGAAUUUGGCACGCACUUAAGGAAGUGUGGAAUUGUUUCACAACUCACGCCGCCUGGAACACCUCAGCGUAAUGGUGUGUCCGAACGUCGUAAUCGCACUCUGUUGGACAUGGUGCGAUCUAUGAUGUCUCUUACCGACCUACCGCUAUCAUUUUGGGGAUAUGCUUUAGAGACUGCCGCAUUCACUUUAAAUAGGGCUCCGUCUAAAUCCGUUGAGACGACACCGUAUGAAUUAUGGUUUGGGAAGAAACCUAAGCUGUCGUUUCUGAAAGUUUGGGGAUGCGAUGCUUAUAUCAAGAAACUUCAACCUGAAAAGCUCGAACCCAAGUCGGAAAAAUGCGUCUUCAUAGGAUACCCUAAGGAAACUAUUGGGUAUACCUUCUACCUCAGAUCCGAAGGCAAGAUCUUUGUUGCCAAGAAUGGAUCCUUUCUAGAGAAAGAGUUUCUCGAAAGAAGUAAGUGGGAGGAAAGUGGAACUUGAUGAAGUACUGUCUCUUGAACCGGAAAGUAGCGCAGCUCAAGAAAAUGUUUCUGUGGUGCCUGCACCGACUAGAGAGGAAGUUAAUGAUGAUGAUCAAGGAACUUCGGAUCAAGUUACUACUAAACUUCGUAGGUCCACAAGGACACGUUCCGCACCAGAGUGGUACGGCAACCCUGUCCUGGAAAUCAUGCUGUUAGACAAUGGUGAACCUUCGAACUAUGAAGAAGCGAUGGCGGGCCCGGAUUCCGAUAAAUGGCUUGAAGCCAUGAAACCCGAGAUAGGAUCCAUGUAUGAAAACGAAGUAUGGACUUUGACUGACUUGCCCGAUGAUCGGCGAGCCAUAGAAAAUAAAUGGAUCUUUAAGAAGAAGACAUACGCGGAUGGUAAUGUGACCAUCUAUAAGGCUCGGCUUGUCGCUAAGGGUUAUCGACAAGUUCAAGGGGUUGACUACGAUGAGACUUUCUCACCCGUAGCGAAGCUGAAGUCCGUCCGAAUCAUGUUAGCAAUUGCCGCGUUCUAUGAUUAUGAGAUAUGGCAAAUGGACGUCAAAACGGCAUUCCUUAAUGGUUUCCUUAAGGAAGAAUUGUAUAUGAUGCAGCCAGAAGGUUUUGUCGAUCCUAAGAAUGCUGACAAGGUGUGCAAGCUCCAACGCUCAAUCUAUGGGCUGGUGCAAGCAUCUCGGAGUUGGAACAUUCGCUUUGAUGAGAUGAUCAAAGCGUUUGGGUUUACGCAGACUUAUGGAGAAGCCUGUGUUUACAAGAAAGAUAGUGGGAGCUCUGUAGCGUUUCUCAUAUUAUAUGUGGAUGACAUACUAUUGAUGGGAAAUGAUAUAGAAUUCUUGGAAAGCAUAAAGGCCUACUUGAAUAAGUGUUCUUCAAUGAAGGACCUUGGAGAAGCUGCUUAUAUAUUAGGCAUCAAGAUCUAUAAAGAUAGAUCGAGACGCCUCAUUGGUCUUUCACAAAGCACGUACCUUGACAAGAUAUUGAAGAAGUUCAAUAUGGAUCAGUCCAAGAAGGGGUUCUUGCCUGUAUUGCAAGGUGUGAGAUUGAGCACGGCUCAAUGCCCGACCACGGCAGAAGAUAGACAAAAGAUGAGUGUCAUCCCCUAUGCCUCGGCCAUAGGGUCUAUUAUGUAUGCCAUGCUGUGUACCAGACCUGAUGUAAACCUUGCCGUAAGUUUGGUAGGAAGGUACCAAAGUAAUCCCGGCAUGGAACACUGGACAGCGGUCAAGAAUAUCCUGAAGUACCUGAAAAGGACUAAGGAUAUGUUUCUCAUUUAUGGAGGUGACGAAGAGCUCGUCGUAAAGGGUUACGUCGACGCUAGCUUCGACACAGAUCUGGAUGACUCUAAGUCACAAACCGGAUACGUGUAUAUUUUGAAUGGUGGGGCAGUUAGCUGGUGCAGUUGCAAGCAAAGCGUCAUGGCAGGAUCUACAUGUGAAGCGGAGUACAUGGCAGCCUCGGAGGCAGCGCAUGAAGCAAUCUGGAUGAAGGAGUUCAUUACCGACCUAGGAGUUAUUCCCAAAGCGUUGGGCCCGAUGACUCUCUUCUGUGACAACACUGGAGCUAUUGCCCUGGCCAAGGAGCCCAGGUUUCACAAGAAGACCGGGCAUAUCAAGCGUCGCUUCAACUCCAUUCGUGAAAAUGUUCAAGAUGGAGACAUAGAUAUUUGUAAAGUGCAUACGGACCUGAAUGUCGCAGAUCCGUUGACUAAACCUCUUCCACGAGCAAAACAUGAUCAACACCAGAACUCUAUGGGUGUUCGAUUCAUCACAAUGUAACUAGAUUAUUGACUCUAGUGCAAGUGGGAGACUGUUGGAAAUAUGCCCUAGAGGCAAUAAUAAAAUGGUUAUUAUUAUAUUUCCUUGUUCAUGAUAAUUGUCUAUUGUUCAUGCUAUAAUUGUGUUAUCCGGAAAUCGUAAUACAUGUGUGAAUACAUAGACCACAACAUGUCCCAAGUGAGCCACUAGUUGACUAGCUCGUUGAUCAAUAAAUGGUUACGGUUUCCUGACCAUGGACAUUGGACGUCAUUGAUAACGGGAUCACAUCAUGAGGAGAAUGAUGUGAUGGACAAGACCCAAUCCUAAACAUAGCACUAGAUCGUGUAGUUCAUUUGUUAAAGCUUUUCUAAUGUCAAGUAUCAUUUCCUUAGACCAUGAGAUCGUGCAACUCCCGGAUGCCGUAGGAAUGCUUUGGGUGUACCAAACGUCACAACGUAACUGGGUGACUAUAAAGGUGCACUACAGGUAUCUCUGAAAGUGUCUGUUGGGUUGGCACGGAUCGAGACUGGGAUUUGUCACUCCGUAUGACGGAGAGGUAUCUCUGGGCCCACUCGGUAAUGCAUCAUCAUAAUGAGCUCGAUGUGACCAAGUAGUUGGUCACGGGAUAAUGCAUUACGGAACGAGUAAAGUGACUUGCCGGUAACGAGAUUGAACGAGGUAUUGGGAUACCGACGAUCGAUUGACAAAGAGAAUUGUAUACGAGAUUGCUUGAAUCCUCGACAUCGUGGUUCAUCCGAUGAGAUCAUUGUGGAACGUGUGGGAGCCAACAUGGGUAUCCAGAUCCCGCUGUUGGUUAUUGGCUAGAGAGGUGUCUCGGUCAUGUCUGCAUGAUUCCCGAACCCGUAGGGUCUACACACUUAAGGUUCGAUGACGCUAGGGUUAUAAGGAAGGUUUGUAUGUGAUUACCGAAUGUUGUUCGGAGUCCCGGAUGAGAUCCCGGACGUCACGAGGAGUUUCGGAUUGGUCCGGAGGUGAAGAUUUAUAUAUGGGAAGUCAUCAUACAGUCACCGGAAAUAUUCGGGGGUAUACCGGUAUUGUACCGGGACCACCGGAGGGGUUCCGGGGGUCCACCGGGAGGGUCCACCUGCCCCGGAGGGCCUUAUGGGCUGUAGGUGGAAGGGAACCAGCCCCUAAGUGGGUUGGGCGCCAUCCCCCCUAGGGCCCAUGCGCCUAGGGUUGGGGGGAACCCUAAAGGGGGGCGCCCCCUUGCUUGGGGGGCAAGCCCCCUCCCCCUUGGCCACCGCCCCCCUCUAGAUCUCAUCUAGAGGGGCCGGCCCCUUCCCCCUUCUCCCUAUAAAUAGAGGGGUGGAGGGAGGGCUGCAGCACCACAUCCAAGGCGCAGCCCCUCCCCUCCCCAACACCUCUUCUCCUCCGCGUGAGCUUGGCGAAGCCCUGCCGGAGAACUGCCACUCCACCACCACCACGCCGUCGUGCUGCUGUUGGAGCCUUCUUCCUCAACCUCUCCCUCCUCCUUGCUGGAUCAAGGCGUGGGAGACAUCACCGGGCUGCACGUGUGUUGAACACGGAGGCACCGUUGUUCGGUGCUUGGAUCGGAUUCUGCCGCGAUCUGAAUCACUACGUGUACGACUCCUCCAACCGCGUUCUUGCAACGCUUCCGCAUCGCGAUCUUCAAAGGUAUGAAGAUGCACUCCCCUCUCGUUGCUAGUAAACUCCAUAGAUUGAUCUUGGUGAUGCGUAGAAAUUUUUUAAUUUCUGCAACGAUCCCCAACAAUUUUAUGUUGAGAACUGAUAAAAAAAUUGGGAUGAUUUUUACUUUAAAUUGUGCGGCUGUUGGACAUUUUUACAUCACCUGUUGGAGCGGCGGUCGCGCGUCUGAUAUAUUUUACAUCAUUUGUGUUGGGGAACGUAGUAAUUUUAAAAAAUUUCCUACGCACAUGCAAGAUCAUGGUGAUGCAUAGCAACGAGAGGGGAGAGUAUUGUCCACGUACCCUCGUAGACCGAAAGCGGAAGCGUUAGCACAACGCGGUUGAUGUAGUCGUACGUCUUCACAAUCCGACCGAUCAAGUACCGAACGCACGACACCUCCGAGUUCAGCACACGUUCAGCCCGAUGACGUCCCUCGAACUCCGAUCCAGCCGAGUGUUGAGGGAGAGUUUCGUCAGCACGACGGCGUGGUGACGAUGAUGAUGUUCUACUGACGCAGGGCUUCGCCUAAGCACCGCUACAGUAUUAUCGAGGUGGACUAUGGUGGAGGGGGGCACCGCACACGGCUAAAAGAUCAACAGAUCAAAUUGUUGUGUCUCUAGGGUGCCCCCUGCCCCUGUAUAUAAAGGAGCAAGGGGGGAGAGGCGGCCGGCCAGGAGGGGCGCGCCCUCCCUUUUCCUUGUUGGAUUAGGAGAGGAGAGGGAAGGAGAGAGAGGGGGAAAGGAAAGGGGGGGCGCCGCUCCCCCUCCUUGUCCAAUUCGGACUUGGGGGGAAGGGGCGCGCGGCUGCCCCUUGGCCGCCUCUCCUCUUCCACCAAUUGGGCCCAUGAGGCCCAAUAACCUCCGCGGGGGUUCCUGUAACCCCCCGGUACUCCGGUAUAUAUCCGAUAACCCCCGGAACCAUUCCGGUGUCCGAAUAUAGUCAUCCAAUAUAUCAAUCUUCAUGUAUCGACCAUUUCGAGACUCCUCGUUAUGUCCGUGAUCACAUCUAGGACUCCGAACAACCUUCGGUACAUCAAAACAUAUAAACUCAUAAUAUAACUGUCAUCGAAACUUUAAGCGUGCGGACCCUAAGGGUUCGAGAACUAUGUAGACAUGACCGAGACACGUCUCCGGUCAAUAACCAAUAGCGGAACCUGGAUGCUCAUAUUGGCUCCCACAUAUUCUACGAAGAUCUUUAUCGGUCAGACCGCAUAACAACAUACGUUGUUCCCUUUGUCAUCGGUAUGUUACUUGCCCGAGAUUCGAUCGUCGGUAUCUCAAUACCUAGUUCAAUCUCGUUACCGGCAAGUCUCUUUACUCGUUCUGUAUUACAUCAUCCCGCAACUAACUCAUUAGUUGCAAUGCUUGCAAGGCUUAAGUGAUGUGCAUUACCGAGUGGGCCCAGAGAUACCUCUCCGACAAUCGGAGUGACAAAUCCUAAUCUCGAAAUACGCCAACCCAACAAGUACCUUCGGAGACACCUGUAGAGCACCUUUAUAAUCAUCCAGUUACGUUGUGACGUUUGGUAGCUCACAAAAUGUUUCUCCGGUAAACGGGAGUUGCAUAAUCUCAUAGUCAUAGGAACAUGUAUAAGUCAUGAAGAAAGCAAUAGCAGAAUACUAAACGAUCGUGUGCUAAGCUAACGGAAUGGGUCAAGUCAAUCACAUCAUUCUCCUAAUGAUGUGAUCCCGUUAAUCAAAUGACAACUCAUGUCAAUGGCUAGGAAACAUAACCAUCUUUGAUCAACGAGCUAGUCAAGUAGAGGCAUACUAGUGACACUCUAUUUGUCUAUGUAUUCACACAAGUAUUAUGUUUCUAGUUAAUACAAUUCUAGCAUGAAUGAUAAACAUUUACCAUGAUAUAAGGAAAUAAAUAAUAACUUUAUUAUUGCCUCUAGGGCAUAUUUCCUUCAGUCUCCCACUUGCACUAGAGUCAAUAAUCUAUAUUACACAGUAAUGAUUCUAACACCCAUGGAGCCUUGGUGCUGAUCAUGUUUUGCUCGUGGAAGAUGCUUAGUCAACGGGUCUGCAACAUUUAGAUCCGUAUGUAUCUUGCAAAUUUCUAUGUCCCCCACCUGGACUAGAUCCCGGAUGGAAUUGAAGCGUCUCUUGAUGUGCUUGGUUCUUUUGUGAAAUCUGGAUUCCUUCGCCAAGGCAAUUGCACUAGUAUUGUCACAAAAUAUUUUCAUUGGACCCGAUGCACUAGGUAUGAGACCUAGAUCGGAUAUGAACUCCUUCAUCUGCUGCUUCCGAAGCAGCUAUGUACUCCGCUUCACACGUAGAUCCCGCCACGACGCUUUGUUUAGAACUGCACCAACUGACAGCUCCACCGUUCAAUGUAAACACGUAUCCGGUUUGCGAUUUAGAAUCGUCCGGAUCAGUGUUAAAGGUUGCAUCAACGUAACCAUUUACGAUGAGCUCUUUGUCACCUCCAUAAAAGAGAAACAUAUCCUUAGUCCUUUUCAGGUAUUUCAGGAUGUUCUUGACCGCUAUCCAGUGAUCCACUCCUGGAUUACUUUGGUACCUCCCUGCUAAACUUAUAGCAAGGCACACAUCAAGUGUAGUACACAGCAUUGCAUACAUGAUAGAGCCUAUGGCUGAAGCAUAGGGAACAUCUUUCAUCUUCUCUCUAUCUUCUGAAGUGGUCGGGCAUUGAGUCUUACUCAACUUCACACCUCGUAACACAGGCAACAACCCUUACUUUGCUUGAUCCAUUUUGAACUUCUUCAAAACUUUGUCAAGGUAUGUGCUUUGUGAAAGUCCAAUUAAGCGUCUUGAUAUAUCUCUAUAGAUCUUGAUGCCUAAUAUAUAAGCAGCUUCACCGAGGUCUUUCAUUGAAAAACUCUUAUUCAAGUAUCCCUUUAUGCUAUCCAGAAAUUAUAUAUCAUUUUCAAUCAGCAAUAUGUCAUCCACAUAUAAUAUUAGAAAUGCUACAGAGCUCCCACUCACUUUCUUGUAAAUACAGGCUUCUCCAAAAGUCUGUAUAAAACCAAAUGCUUUGAUCACACUAUCAAAGCGCUUAUUCCAACUCCGAGAGGCUUGCACCAGUCCAUAAAUGGAUCGCUGGAGCUUGCACACUUUGUUAGCUCCUUUUGGAUCGACAAAACCUUCCGGUUGCAUCAUAUACAACUCUUCUUCCAGAAAUCCAUUCAGGAAUGCAGUUUUGACAUCCAUUUGCCAAAUUUCAUAACCAUAAAAUGCGGCAAUUGCUAACAUGAUUCGGACAGACUUAAGCAUCACUACGGGUGAGAAGGUCUCAUCGUAGUCAACUCCUUGAACUUGUUGAAAACCUUUUGCAACAAGUCGAACUUUAUAAAUAGUAACAUUACCGUCAGCGUCAGUCUUCUUCUUGAAGAUCCAUUUAUUCUCAAUGGCUUGCCGAUCAUCGGGCAAGUCAACCAAAGUCCACACUUUGUUCUCAUACAUGGAUCCCAUCUCAGAUUUCAUGGCCUCAAGCCAUUUUGCGGAAUCUGGGCUCACCAUUGCUUCUUCAUAGUUCGUAGGUUCGUCAUGGUCUAGCAACAUAACUUCCAGGACAGGAUUACCGUACCACUCUGGUGCGGAUCUUACUCUGGUUGACCUACGAGGUUCAGUAACAACUUGAUCUGAAGUUUCAUGAUUAUCAUCAUUAACUUCCUCACUAAUUGGUGUAGGUGUCGCAGAAACCGGUUUCUGUGAUGAACUACUUUCCAAUAAGGGAGCAGGUACAGUUACCUCAUCAAGUUCUACUUUCCUCCCACUCACUUCUUUCGAGAGAAACUCCUUCUCUAGAAAGAUUCCAAAUUUAGCAACAAAAGUCUUGCCUUCGGAUCUGUGAUAGAAGGUGUACCCAACUAUCUCUUUUGGGUAUCCUAUGAAGACACAUUUUUCCGACUUGGGUUCGAGCUUAUCAGGUUGAAGCUUUUUCACAUAAGCAUCGCAGCCCCAAACUUUAAGAAACGACAACUUUGGUUUCUUGCCAAACCACAGUUCAUAAGGCGUCGUCUCAACGGAUUUCGAUGGUGUCCUAUUUAAUGUGAAUGCAGCCGUCUCUAAAGCAUAUCCCCAAAACGAUAGCGGUAAAUCAGUAAGAGACAUCAUAGAUCGCAGCAUAUCUAGUAAAGUACGAUUAUGACAUUCGGACACACCAUUUCGCUGUGGUGUUCCGGGUGGCGUGAGUUGCGAAACUAUUCCGCAUUGUUUCAAAUGAAGACCAAACUCGUAACUCAAAUAUUCUCCUCCAUGAUCAGAUCGUAGAAAUUUUAUUUUCUUGUUACGAUGAUUUUCAACUUCACUCUGAAAUUCUUUGAACUUUUCAAAUGUUUCAGACUUAUGUUUCAUUAAGUAGAUAUACCCAUAUCUGCUCAAAUCAUCUGUGAAGAUGAGAAAAUAACGAUAUCCGCCACGAGCCUCAAUAUUCAUCGGACCACAUACAUCUGUAUGUAUGAUUUCCAACAAAUCUCUUGCUCGCUCCAUAGUUCCGGAGAACGGUGUUUUAGUCAUCUUGCCCAUGAGGCACGGUUCGCCAGUACCAAGUGAUUCAUAAUCAAGUGGUUCCAAAAGUGCAUCAGUAUGGAGUUUCUUCAUGCGCUUUACACCGAUAUGACCUAAACGGCAGUGCCACAAAUAAGUUGUACUAUCAUUAUCAACUCUGCAUCUUUUGGCUUCAAUAUUAUGAAUAUGUGUAUCACUACUAUCGAGAUUCAACAAAAAUAGACCACUCUUCAAGGGUGCAUGACCAUAAAAGAUAUUACUCAUAUAAAUAGAACAACCAUUAUUCUCUGAUUUAAAUGAAUAACUGUCUCGCAUCAAACAAGAUCCAGAUAUAAUGUUCAUGCUCAAUGCUGGCACCAAAUAACAAUUAUUCAGGUCUAAAACUAAUCCCGAAGGUAGAUGUAGAGGUAGCGUGCCGACCGCGAUCACAUCGACUUUGGAACCAUUUCCCACGCGCAUCGUCACCUCGUCCUUAGCCAAUCUUCGCUCAAUCCGUAGUCCCUGUUUCGAGUUGCAAAUAUUAGCAACAGAACCAGUAUCAAAUACCCAGGUGCUACUGCGAGCAUUAGUAAGGUACACAUCAAUAACAUGUAUAUCACAUAUACCUUUGUUCACCUUGCCAUCCUUCUUAUCCGCCAAAUACUUGGGGCACUUCCGCUUCCAGUGACCAGUCUGUUUGCAGUGGAAGCACUCAGUCUCAAGCUUAGGUCCAGACUUGGGUUUCUUCUCUUGAGCAGCAACUUGCUUGUUGUUCUUCCUGAAGUUCCCCUUCUUCUUCCCUUUGCCCUUUUUCUUGAAACUGGUGGUCUUAUUGACCAUCAACACUUGAUGCUUCUUCUUGAUUUCUACCUCCGCAGCUUUUAGCAUUGCGAAGAGCUCGGGAAUCGUCUUAUUCAUCCCUUGCAUGUUAUAGUUCAUCACGAAGCUCUUGUAGCUUGGUGGCAGUGAUUGAAGAAUUCUGUCAAUGACGCUAUCAUCCGGAAGAUUAACUCCCAGUUGAAUCAAGUGAUUGUUAUACCCAGACAUUUUGAGUAUAUGCUCACAGACAGAACUAUUCUCCUCCAUCUUGCAGCAUUAGAACUUAUUGGAGACUUCAUAUCUCUCAAUCCGGGCAUUUGCUUGAAAUAUUAACUUCAACUCCUGGAACAUCUCAUAUGCUCCAUGACGUUCAAAACGUCGUGAAAGACCCGGUUCUAAGCCGUAAAGCAUGGCACACUAAACUAUCCAGUAGUCAUCAGCUUUGCUCUGCCAGAUGUUCAUAACAUCUGGUGUUGCUCCUGCAGCAGGUCUGGCACCCAGCGGUGCUUCCAGGACGUAACUCUUCUGUGCAGCAAUGAGGAUAAUCCUCAAGUUACGGACCCAGUCCGUGUAAUUGCUACCAUCAUCUUUCAACUUUGCUUUCUCAAGGAACACAUUAAAAUUCAACGGAACAACAGCACGGGCCAUCUAUCUACAAUCAACAUAGACAAGCAAAAUACUAUCAGGUACUAAGUUCAUGAUAAAUUUAAGUUCAAUUAAUCAUAUUAUUAAAGAACUCCCACUUAGAUAGACAUCCCUCUAAUCCUCUAAGUGAUCACGUGAUCCAAAUCAACUAAACCAUGUCCGAUCAUCACGUGAGAUGGAGUAGUUUCAAUGGUGAACAUCACUAUGUUGAUCAUAUCUACUAUAUGAUUCAUGCUCGACCUUUCGGUCUCCGUGUUCCGAGGCCAUAUCUGUUAUAUGCUAGGCUCGUCAAGUUUAACCUGAGUAUUCCGCGUGUGCAACUGUUUUGCACCCGUUGUAUUUGAGUAUAGAGCCUAUCACACCCGAUCAUCACGUGGUGUCUCAGCACGAAGAACUUCCGCAACGGUGCAUACUCAGGGAGAACACUUAUACUUUGAUAAUUUAGUGAGAGAUCAUCUUAUAAUGCUACCGUCAAUCAAAGCAAGAUAAGAUGCAUAAAAAGAUAAACAUCACAUGCAAUCAAUAUAAGUGAUAUGAUAUGGCCAUCAUCAUCUUGUGCUUGUGAUCUCCAUCUCCGAAGCACCGUCAUGAUCACCAUCGUCACCGGCGCGACACCUUGAUCUCCAUCGUAGCAUCGUUGUCGUCUCGCCAAUCUUAUGCUUCUACGACUAUCGCUACCGCUUAGUGAUAAAGUAAAGCAUUACAGGGCGAUUGCAUUGCAUACAAUAAAGUGACAACCAUAUGGCUCCUGCUAGUUGUCGAUAACUCGGUUACAAAACAUGAUCAUCUCAUACAAUAAAAUUUAGCAUCAUGUCUUGACCAUAUCACAUCACAACAUGCCCUGCAAAAACAAGUUAGACGUCCUCUACUUUGUUGUUGCAAAUUUUGCGUGGCUGCUGCGGGCUUAGCAAGAACCGUUCUUACCUACGCAUCAAAACCACAACGAUAGAUUGUGAAGUUGGUGUUGUUUUAACCUUCGCAAGGACCGGGUGUAGCCACACUCGGUUCAACUAAAGUUGGAGAAACUGACACCCGCCAGCCACCUGUGUGCAAAGCACGUCGGUAGAACCAGUCUCGCGUAGGCGUACGCGUAAUGUCGGUCCGGGCCGCUUCAUCCAACAAUACCGCCGAACCAAAGUAUGACAUGCUGGUAAGCAGUAUGACUUAUAUCGCCCACAACUCACUUGUGUUCUACUCGUGCAUAUGACAUCUACGCAUAAAACCUGGCUUGGAUGCCACUGUUGGGGAACGUAGUAAUUUGAAAAAAUUUCCUACACACGCAACAUCAUGGUGAUGCAUAGCAACGAGAGGGGAGAGUGUUGUCCACGUACCCUCAUAGACCGAAAGCGGAAGUGUUAGCACAAUGCGGUUGAUGUAGUCGUACGUCUUCACGAUCCGACCGAUCAAGUACCGAACGCACGGCACCUCCGAGUUCAGCACACGUUCAGCCCGAUGACGUCCCUUGAACUCCGAUCCAGCCGAGUGUUGAGGGAGAGUUUCGUCAGCACGACGGCGUGGUGACGAUGAUGUUCUACCGACGCAGGGCUUCGCCUAAGCACCGCUACAGUAUUAUCGAGGUGGACUAUGGUGGAGGGGGGCACCGCACACGGCUAAAAGAUCAACAGAUCAAUUGUUGUGUCUCUAGGGUGCCCCCUGCCCCCGUAUAUAAAGGAGCAAGGGGGGAGAGGCGUCCGGCUAGGAGGGGCACGCCAGGAGGAGUCCUACUCCCACCCUCCCUUUUCCUUGUUGGAUUAGGAGAGGAGAGGGGGAAAGGAAGGGGGGCGCCGCCCCCCUCCUUGCCCAAUUCGGACUUGGGGGGAGGGGCGCGCGGCUGCCCCUUGGCCGCCUCUCCUCUUCCACCAAUUGGGCCCAUGAGGCCCAAUAACCUCCGGGGGGGUUCCGGUAACCCCCCGGUACUCCGGUAUAUAUCCGAUAACCCCCGGAACAAUUCCGAUGUCCGAAUAUAGUCCUCCAAUAUAUCAAUCUUCAUGUCUCGACCAUUUCGAGACUCCUCGUUAUGUCCGUGAUCACAUCCGGGACUCCGAACAACCUUCGGUACAUCAAAACAUAUAAACUCAUAAUAUAACUGUCAUCGAAACUUUAAGCGUGCGGACCCUACGGGUUCGAGAACUAUGUAGACAUGACCGAGACACGUCUCCGGUCAAUAACCAAUAGCGGAACCUGGAUGCUCAUAUUGGCUCCCACAUAUUCUACGAAGAUCUUUAUCGGUCAGACCGCAUAACAACAUACGUUGUUCCCUUUGUCAUCGGUAUGUUACUUGCCCGAGAUUCGAUCGUCGGUAUCUCAAUACCUAGUUCAAUCUCGUUGCCGGCAAGUCUCUUUACUCGUUCUGUAAUACAUCAUCCCGCAACUAACUCAUUAGUUGCAAUGCUUGCAAGGCUUAAGUGAUGUGCAUUACCGAGUGGGCCCAGAGAUACCUCUCCGACAAUCGGAGUGACAAAUCCUAAUCUCAAAAUACGCCAACCCAACAAGUACCUUCGGAGACACCUGUAAAGCACCUUUAUAAUCACCCAGUUACGUUGUGACGUUUGGUAGCACACAAAGUGUUCCUCCGGUAAACGGGAGUUGCAUAAUCUCAUAGUCAUAGGAACAUGUAUAAGUCAUGAAGAAAGCAAUAGCGGAAUACUAAACGAUCGUGUGCUAAGCUAACGGAAUGGGUCAAGUCAAUCACAUCAUUCUCCUAAUGAUGUGAUCCCGUUAAUCAAAUUACAACUCAUGUCAAUGGCUAGGAAACAUAACCAUCUUUGAUCAACGAGCUAGUCAAGUAGAGGCAUACUAGUGACACUCUGUUUGUCUAUGUAUUCACACAAGUAUUAUGUUUCCGGUUAAUACAAUUCUAGCAUGAAUAUAAAGAUAUAUCAUGAUAUAAGGAAAUAAAUUAUUGCCUCUAGGGCAUAUUUCCUUCAAUUUGUUGAGUUUGGUUGUUUUUUGGUGAUGUAAUUUUUUCUAGCACUUUUUAAUUAUGUAUUUUACAUCAUCUGUUGAAGAUGAUUGAUAGCAUCAUUGUACACGCCUUAGUUAUUUUUGAAAAGGAGGAUGACCCCCGGUCUCUGCAUCUGGGAGAUGCAUGCGGCCAUUUUAUUAAUUAUUCUCGAGGACCUUACAAAGAAGAACAACAAUAUGCUUGAAUCCGCCAUCUUGCUAACAUCUGGCACUACUUCUAUCCAAAUGAUGAAGGGGUGCAAGCUGGGCCACAUACCCAGACCUCUCACCUAAGCCUAACAUCUAAAGCCGGAGGCCCCGACCGAGCCAUCUGCCAGGUCCGGGGCUCAAACCGGCCCGACGCACUCACAUGUGUCGUCGCCGCCGUCUUCCACCGGUCCAUCUUCGGAGCAGAUUGAGGUGACAACCUUGGCAGGUCCUCCGCCAUCGACGCCACCACGACGCCAACGACGACCUCUACCUACACGAGCCUUGGCAGGUCCUCCGCCAUUGACGCCACCACGACGCCAGCCGACGACCUCCACCUACGCGAGUCCAUCUCCAAGCAACAAACGUAAAUCCAUGCUACGAUAGGGCCACACUACCGCCGUCGCCCACCACCCACAAGUGCCACCCAAGCCCCAAAGUUCCCAAAGCGGCGCCUUCAAGAAGAGAACGGCGCCGUGAGCGGCGCCGCCGCCCAACAAAGUUAGGGCUUUCGCUCGGAAGACCUAGGGGAAGGUGAAGUGAGGAGAUCAGUCCAUACCGACGCCUCCAAGGAGGGGAACGGCGCCCUCAGGCGUCGCCGUCGGCGCGGCCGGUCAAGGCCGGCCAGGGAUUUCGCCCGAACUAGAUCCCCACCACCAGCAGCGCCUCCUGUACAGAACCGGCGACCAAGAGGAAGCGGGGCCCAACCAGGCUGACCCGCACGCCGAACAGGGGAGGAGGGGAGACGCCAGAUCGCGUGCACCGGCCGUCGCAGAAGCCGCCGCCGGCCGCCAACGACCACCGGAUCCCGUCGCCCGUGCGGCUGGGACACUAGAUCCACCGCCUGCACGGCUGCUAGCCGGCCGUGCCUUACCAAUGUAGCCGCCGCUCCAGAUCCGGGGUUCCCUACGCAGAAGCAGGGCAACCAAGGCCCUGCCGCCACCAUCCUUGGCGCCCUCGGCUUGCCCGGCGGCUGUCUCAGGCAGCGUCGAGGAGGUAAGACGAGGUGGGGAGGGGGCCGCGGCGGCGCAGCUAGGGUUCCCCCGACGCCGCGCCGGGGAAGGCGACGGCGGGGUCGUGAGAGGAGGGGGUUUCGCCUUAAGGAUUCCAAGUCGCGAGAAAGGGCUGUUGCUUCCGCCUACUGCGGCACUACAGCCUCGUUGGUAAGGCUGUGUGGAUCACUUGAUGCAGAGGCCGAGAACCUUCCCCUAUUUUAGAAAAUAAAAAUCCACCUAAAGUUAAGAGUUGUUCAGUAAACCGUAGUAGCAUAUGCCUUCACCUCUGAACAGUCCUCGAGUGACCUGUUUCGAGGCUAGCAGGAGUGGAGUGAAGCAUGCGCGGCACUCCAGCAUGCGCCUGCUAGUCUAGUGGGCUGGCAAGAUGAAGGACGAUGCAUCUAUACAAGUAGUUUCAGGAAGGGAGGAUAUCUGGUGCUACGGGAGCACCUAAGAUUAGGUGCUCCAGGAGCUUUUCAACCGUUAGAUCUGAGAUCCGAAGGCCGAGGAGAGAGCUCACGCUUUUAUUCAAAGAACACCCCCAGAAAUUUGGUAUUGCAAAUCGGGUCCAGCGCAUCUGUAGAUGACCGUUGGAUUUCAGAUCCAAUGGCCGAGAAGCUCUUGGAGCAGCUAAACUUAGGUGCUCCCGUAGCACCAGAUAUUUUCAUGUUUCAGGAAAAUGAAAAACGAGAUAGAUGGAGCGCACACACACAUGGCUGACAGCCGAGGCCGAGUCCCAAGUGCACGUACCAUAGCUGAGCAAUAAUGACCCACGUGUGGCUUCAUCAAAGUGAACUCGAAAAAGGCUCCAUGGACUAGUAAGUGAAGUGCCGGUGCGAAAAGUGCCUGCAGCUGCCGAGCUUCAUUGCUCUUGAUAUUUGAUUUUUUUGAAAAAUACACUUUCGAUGCUCAAAAAAAUCUUAAAACAAAUAUGUGAAUACGUACACAUAUUCCUAAGGACCGGUAGAAAUCUAGAGAAGAAAGACUUUGUAUUUUGGGAAAUACAAAAAAGAGAAAUUUCUGACAGAAAUGGCACCUUUUUUCUCCUAUAUACUGUCAGAAAUUUGUUUUUUUCUAUAGUCCAAAACAAAACGAGAUUUGUACCGAAACUUGCAACGGGUAUUCGAAUUGUGUAUAUGCAUCCCGGGAAAUAUAGAGAGCACUGGUGCUCGGGUGCUGCAAGUGCAACGCCGCUCUCAGUGCCGGUGCCCGUAUAUGAGCUGAAGGAAAUUUCACUGCACAGCAACUGCAAGUGCAAGCACGGAAAGGUCCAAUCGUGGCCUAGUCUAGCCAGCCAGUCCGGGCCAAGCGCGAACCGCCGUGUGCGCAGCGCCGCAUUUGUGGCGCCGCCGGUCGAUCUGAUGAUCCCCCACCGUCACCCGCCGCACGGCACCCCAAACAAUCGGGCGACGGGGCCUGUGGCCGCGGAGGACGCGUUCACGCGGCCGUGCUCGUUAAUUUGGAGCGAGCCCUUUUCCGCCCGGGCCCGGCCCCCGGCCCGCACGACCGGUGCGCCACCAACCCCAACCAAUCAUGCGCGCGUCGCGCGUCGGCGUCGGCGUCGUCGUCUUGCCCGCUCCCAUCGACCAAUGGAUCCAUGGAUCCUACCAGCUCCAGCUAGCGUGAUGCCGGCAUCCCAAGCUACUUUCUGUCGGUCGGUCUUUCUCUAAGCGCGCCCCUCCCCCAUCUUCUACCCCCCGAUCCGAUCCGUGCGAUUCCACGGCGUGGCUGCCGGGAUUUCCCCACAUGAUCGUGAGUUGUGCGACAGAUCGAUCGACGGUGGAACUUGAAAAGAGAAUGGACGACCGGUUUUAUUUAUUUAUGUACUGCGUGGUAUGAAGGGGAGGAUUAAUUAAGCUAUUUGUACAGGUUGAAGGCCUCAAUCAAUCGAUCUAUCGGCUGGUUGAUUAAGUGGACGCUCGAUCUGCCGAUGGUGGCACCAGGCUAAAUUUUGUGCCGAUAUACGAGCUGAGAUCUCAUUGUUCACAAUGCGGGCUGUUGAAGCAUGUGGUGCACUAAUAUAUAUUUUCGGUUGCAUAAACAUAUAUUUGCUGUUGAGAAAUCACUUUAGUUGGGCCGAUCGACGUUGGCAAUACACUCUGGAAGACUGAGACCUCGUACCCAUAAUUAAUGACACAGUAAUAAGUUAGCUAAACCCAAGCGCUAAAUGCAAAGUUAAACAGACUAUUAGCUAGCCAGCCUGCGUGCGGAAGGGCAUGCAUGCAUGGCUGCGGUUACGUGCAAGCAGGCGCAACCACUGAAUCAUGGAGUGGCACAGUGCAGUGUACCACCAACGAACGGUCGAUCUGGUAGCUAGCUAGAGACUGCCCAUCAACGUCACGCACUGCACUGGACUGGAGUGCACCCAACAGACAGCCAGCCAGUCCGGCUGCCUUAACUAACUGACUGCUCACCCCGUGACGCGUGCCCCGUAACGAACCUCCUAAAUUCUGUUGCAUUCUUCUUCUUCUUCUUCUUUAAAUUUUUUGUUGCAUUCGAAUAGCUACGUGGCUUUACCGAAUACAAGCACAAACAAAAAAGAUAUUCGAAGCAUUUGUGCUGGAAUCCAUCCAUCGAGCUACGCCAGGGUGAUUUGGGUUUCACUUUUUCAGAUUUACCAUCUCGCUCUUUUCACCUUGGCUCGACAGGCAGGCAAUGUGCCUCCAGCUGUAGCCUGUAGAGAUAUUGCUGUUUAUGCCUUGAUAGUACAUUUUUGUCUCUUUGUACUGUUCGAGCGUUUGCACAGGAGCAGGGCUUUGUCGGGACGGACGGGCGGGCAGGAUUUGGUUAGGCAUCCGAUGAACUAGAAAUGGGCUAAUUGGGCAUCCGAUGAGCAGGAUUUAGUCAAGAUUUAGUGUGAGCACUAGCAGGGUACAUGUACCUCGUCUGCUGACACGUAAAUCACCACCCCCAUCCUAUGGUUCGAGAGUCUUUAAUUUUUUAUAACACAAUUAUGUACAGUAAGAGCAUCUACAAGCGGGCACCUCAAACGCCCGGUCGGAUGGGCUGGUCAGUAACCGGUUAUAAAAACAGAUCUAGACGGGCGUCUCAAACGGGUCUCAAAUGCCCGGACUAACCGGCACGCCUCAUAUCCAGCCAAAUAUGGGGCGGAUAUGGAGAGGCCCGGGUAGGCGCGACCGCCACGUCGGACUGAUGGCGGGGUGCCACACAAAAACACUCCGAAAUCUAUGGUCAUGGAGUUUUUAAAAAUAUUCAUGCAUUGAAUUUUGUUGUUGUGUUUUUUAUAAAUAAAUACAAAGUGACGGAGUCAAAUCUAGCAGAUCUCGAGUAGGGGGCCUGAACUAAGAGCUAAAGACGAUGAUAACGAGGACAUGAGUUUUUACCCAGGUUCGGACUCUUCCUAGAGAUAAAACCAUACCUUUUGCUUGUGUAUAUUGCUUUGGGAUGGAGUACAUAGUUCAAUCAAUCUACCGUGAGGUUGUUGUCUGUCUCCUACGACCCCCACCCCUUGNNNNNNNNNNNNNNNNNNNNNNNNNNNNNNNNNNNNNNNNNNNNNNNNNNNNNNNNNNNNNNNNNNNNNNNNNNNNNNNNNNNNNNNNNNNNNNNNNNNNNNNNNNNNNNNNNNNNNNNNNNNNNNNNNNNNNNNNNNNNNNNNNNNNNNNNNNNNNNNNNNNNNNNNNNNNNNNNNNNNNNNNNNNNNNNNNNNNNNNNNNGGAGAACGAAUUAUAGAUGAUUUUAGUAUCUUCGAGUGUACAACAAAUCUUUGGGAAUCUUUCUUUCAUACGUCAUGGGCCGCUCGAUGUGGCCCAUUGGUGAACCGACAUGGGGUCCCCAACCCGGUCAACCAGGCUGGGAGACGACGUGAUUAGAGACCCCCAGUCCGGGACACCGUCACAAAGGAUAAAAUUAAUUUAAAUCAAAAUUUAAAUAAAGAUACCGGUUUUCAUGGAAGCAUAAGGCCUUGUUUGUUGUAAGAGUUCUGGGGAGGUUUAGAGGGGAAUAUCCCCACAUGGCCAUAAUACCCAAAUAUCCCCGUCGACUCAUUUGGUAUGCAUGGAUUAAACAUGCCAGCCCCCCGCCCCACCAGCUCCUCCUCCCAAGUCCAAAACCACGUGGUACAAAAAACUCCAGGAGCCACUCGUGGAACGAGUCGUAGGAGGUUUAACCAAACAAACAGAUUUGUGAAGGGGGGAGGGGGGUAGUGGUGAAUUUAGGGAAAUGGAUGGAGGGGAUGAGAUCACCAUAUCCCCUCCCAUCCUUACCCCCUUGGGGCUGCAAAACCUCGCCAGCAAACCAGGCCUAAAGAGGAAAGGGAAAUAAAAAUAUAGAUAAGAUAAAUAGUUAUUAGAAAAGGUAGAAAAAUAGGCAUGCAACCCGUAAUUGGAGGUACCAAAAAUGGGUGCUAGCAAAGCAUCCUUAUUCCAGACAACGAGCAUGGAAAACCUUUAAGCAUUCACGCUUAACAUGUUGUAGCUUAAUUCAAAAUAGACAUGGAAUUAUAACAUGCCUCUAAUACGGAAAACCAAUUAUGGAGACAUCUAUAUGCAGGGAGAGAGGUGGAGGCUUUAGCCAUUUUUGGAAUCCCUCGAAACCUUAUCCAUCCCUCCCUCAUGCCAAUUCGCCCAUACAAAUCUAGAAGUCUGGGCUCACAACGCUCCUCACCUAAUAGGGUUAUUUGAAAAACCAUGAGGAGAAAAAAAUCAAUAUAACAACAAUUGUACGUCCAUGCGGUUGUAUUGAGUCUUACUUCUACUAGGAGUAUCUCUGUCGACAAUUUCUAUGAUCAAGUCCCCUAACCCUUUUCAACUUUUUAUCUUCCUAUUUCAAAAACAGCACUCCGCUAGCAAGUACUGGAUCACUCGGUAAAGUAGUUUACCGAGCCUAACCAAAAGCACCAUCAUCAUAGGCACCUUAACUAGCUCACCAAUGCCAAAAAACAUUUAACAGUACAAUCAAUGCAGUGACUAGGUGUCGUGUUGUCAAGUACUGGUAAUUGAGAUAGAACCAGCUCGUCAGCAACACCUAGAGUGGCAUCAAUAUAUUGUACAGUAGGAUGUCCCAGUCGGAAAGAUUCAAUACAUAGUUUGAUUUCAUCAUUAUGACAAGCUUCAUUGAACAUAAAUUUUUAGUAGUUCAACAACCAACACAAAACGUAUGGGAGAUAGAGGAUCCCCCUUUAUAACACCUCCUCUCCAAACAAUUCUUUUGCCAGUACGUCAUUAAGUGUAGCAGGGUUGUAGCAAUGCUCAGUAUGCUCCUUAUCGGCUUGUUCAUGUUUCACCAAAUCCAAUUGAGGCAUGAAAAUAAUAGCACUGCAUUCCACUGAUACAUCUCCAACGUAUCUAUAAUUUUUUAUUGUUCCAUGCUAUUAUAUUAUCCGUUUUGGAUGUUUAAUGGGCUUUACUAUACACUUAUAUAUUAUUUUUGGGACUAACCUAUUAACCCAAGGCACAGUGCAAAUUGCUGUUUUUUUGCCUAUUUCAGUGUUUCGUAGAAAAGAAAUAUCAAACGGAGUCCAAACGGAAUGAAACCUUCGGGAGCGUGAUUUUUGGAACAAACGUGAUCCAGAGGACUUGGAGUGGACGUCAAGAAACAACCGAGGAGGCCACGAGGCAGGGAGUCGCGCCUGCCCCUGGGUGCGCCCCCACCCUCGUGGGCCCCUCGUAGCUCCACCAACCUACUUCUUCCUCCUAUAUAUACCCAUGUACCCUGAAAACAUCCACGAGCACCACGAAACCCUAUUUCCACCGCCGCAACCUUCUGUAUCCGUGAGAUCCCAUCUUGGGGCCUUUUCCGGCGCUCUGCCGGAGGGGGAAUCGAUCACGGAGGGCUUCUACAUCAACACCAUGGCCUCUUCGAUGAUGUGUGAGUAGUUUACCACAGACCUUUGGGUCCAUAGUUAUUAGCUAGAUGGCUUCUUCUCUCUCUUUGGAUCUCAAUACAAAGUUCUCCUCGAUCUUCUUGGAGAUCUAUUCGAUGUAACUCUUUUUGCGGUGUGUUUGUCGAGAUCCGAUGAAUUGUGGGUUUAUGAUCAAGAUUAUCUAUGAACAAUAUUUGAAUAUGCUCUGAAUUCUUUUAUGUAUGAUUGGUUAUCUUUGCAAGUUUCUUCGAAUUAUCAGUUUGGUUUGGCCUACUAGAUUGAUCUUUCUUGCAAUGGGAGAAGUGCUUAGCUUUGGGUUCAAUCUUGCGUUGCUCGAUCUCAGUGACAGUAGGGAAACGGCAUGUAUUAUAUUGUUGCCAUCGAGAAUAAAAAGAUGGGGUUUAUAUCAUAUUGCUUGAGUUUAUCCCUCUGCAUCAUGUUAUCUUGCCUAAUGCGUUACUCUGUUCUUAUGAACUUAAUACUCUAGAUGCAUGCUGGAUAGCGGUCGAUGUGUGGAGUAAUAGUAGUAGAUGCAGGCAGGAGUCGGUCUACUUGUCACGGACGCGAUGCCUAUAUACAUGAUCAUGCCUAGAUAUUCUCAUAAUUAUGCACUUUUCUAUCAAUUGCUCGACAGUAAUUUGUUCACCCACCGUAAUACUUAUGCUAUCUUGAGAGAAGCCACUAGUGAAACCUAUGGCCCCCGGGUCUAUUUUCCAUCAUAUAAGUUUCCAAUCUAUUUUAUUUUGCAAUCUUUACUUUCAAUCUUUAUCAUAAAAAUACCAAAAAUAUUAUCAUCUCUAUCAGAUCUCACUUUUGCAAGUGGCCGUGAAGGGAUUGACAACCCCUUUAUCACGUUGGUUGCAACGUUCUUAUUUGUUUGUGUAGGUACGAGGGACUUGCGUGUGGCUUCCUACUGGAUUGAUACCUUGGUUCUCAAAAACUGAGGGAAAUACUUACGCUACUUUGCUGCAUCACCCUUUCCUCUUUAAGGGAAAACCAAUGCAUGCUCAAGAGGUAGCAUCCACCUUAUCAGAUGUCCUCUCAAAAUCUAUUUUAAAGAGCACAAUUUCCAUUUUAGAUUUGUGGUGAAUUUGAAGGUGGUCAAAAACCCAAUAUAAGCAUUCUUGAAUAUUUAUGUUUUUUUAACAAACCCAUAUUAAUUAUUGCUAAGUAUUGAUAUGAUAUACCUCUGUACCCUGUUAGCCAUUAAUAUCGUUAACACUUCAAUAUGCAUGCUCACUAUGGAGAUUGGUCUCUAGUCUACUACAGAUUCAAGAGCAGGUAUCUAGAACUGAGUGAUAUAUAGAGAGAGUGUUAAAAAAGUUGUAUGUCCAUUUUUUCAUUAUGAAAGUUAGAACAUAACUUGUAAAAUAUAUCUGUAAUAACAUGCUAUCAUCUCUUCAAGAAAAGACCAUUGAAACCAUCUAGCCCAAGGGAUUUAUCAUUGUGCAUAAAUUAAUAACCUCAUCGAUUUUCAUCAUUGAUGAAUGUGUCUUUCAAAUUACCAAGACUAUUAUUGGUAGCUAAAUGUCGAGUAUCUUGUAGAAUUGAUCAUUCAUAAGCAGCGAACUGGGUCCCCGUGAUUUUCUCGAGAAAUGUUUCACUCUCUAUGAAAAUAAUCUACAAUAUGGCAGAUAAAAUAUUCACACCACUUGUUAAUGUUCACACCACUCACGAAUAACAUAACUAUUUUGUGCUAUACAUCAACCUUUCAAAAACUAAUAUCUAUUGAGUUCAUUAUUUCAAAUGAAAGACAUUCGUAUAUUUAGAAAAUGUGCACAUGUUUAAAAUGUAUGAUCAUAGAGUUUUUAAAAUAUUCAUGCAUUCACAAAUGUUGUUGCAUUUUUACAAAUAAAUAUAAAUGUGAUUUAAAAUGAAAAUUUAAAUAAAGAUACCAAUUUUCAUGGAAGCAUAAUGCCUUGUUCGGUGGAAGAGGUUUGGGAGGUUUAGAGGGUAGUAUCCCAUUGGGCACAGAAUACCGAGAAAUCCCCGUCAGCCCAUUUGGUACGUAGGGACUGAACAUGCCAGCCCCCAAUCCCACUAACCUCUCCCAAGCCCCAACCCACAUAUUACUAAAAACUCCAGGAGCCACUCGUGCAGGACGAGACAGGGGCGCUUGUUGUGCUGUUGCCGUCGAAGGAGGUUUAACCAAACAAAACAGAUUUAUGAGAGAGAGGGGGGAGGGGGAGGGUAGUGGACAAUUGAGGGUAAUUGGUGGAGGGGAUCGCCAAACCCCACCCCCAUUGGGGCUGCAAAACCUCGCCACCAACAAGGCCUAAAGAAAAGGAGAUUAUUCUGUUUUUCAUAAAAAUGUAAGAUAGUAGCCAUGCAACCCGUAAUUGGCCGUACCAAAAAGGGUGCUAGCGAAGCAUCCUUAUUCCACACAAUGGGCAUGAAAAACCUUUAAGCACGCACACUUAACAUGUUGUAGUCUGAUUCAAAAUAGACAUGGAAUUCAAGAGGCCUCUAACACAACAACCAAUUAUGGAGACGUCUAUAUUCAGGUAGCGGCAGAGGCUUUAGUCAUUUCUGAAAACUCCCCGAAACCUUACUCAUCCCUCCCCGUGCCCAAAUCCGCCCGUCCAAAUCUGAAAGCCUUGGCUCACAACGAUCCUCCCCUAAUAGGUUUAUUUGAAAAACCACAGGGAGAAAAAUGUAAUAUAACUACAGUUGUACAUCCAUGCCGUUGUAUCGACUCUUUGUACCACGAGUAUACGCCUCUUGUGACAAUUUCUAUAGUCAGGUACUCCUCUAGCCCAUUUCAACUUCUUUUUCCAUUGCAACAAAAGUACUCCGCUAACAAGUAGUGAAUCGGUUGGUAAAGUAGUUUAAUGAGCCUAACCAAAAGCUUUAGCAUUAUCAUCAGGCAUCUUAACCAGCUUAGGCUCAUCAAUGCCAAUAAAAACUUUUACCAACAUACAAUCAAUGUAGUGACUAGGUGUCGUGUUAUCACGUACUGGUAAAUGAGAUAGAACCAGCUCGUCACUAACACCUAGAUGAUAGGUGCCCCGGUCGAUAGGAUAACCAUCAGCGCCGCAAGUAACCGUGGUGUGCCGUCCGUGGGAACCAUAAAUGCAUUAUUAAUUAACCAUACACAAUUUGCCGACUGAUCGAGGCUAACCCAUUUGUAUUAAGCCGAGGUUUCGCUCGAUGCCGUCACUGUAAUCACAUUUACAGAUUCAUUGAAAAUAUAACUUGUAAAAUAUAUUUGUAAUAGCAUGCCAUCAUCUCUUCAUGAAAAAGGCCAUUGAAACCGUCAAGUUCUAGGGAUUUAUCAUUGUGCAUAAAUUAACAACCUCGUAGAUUUCAUCAUUGGUGAAUGUGCUUUUCAAAUGAUCAAGACUAUUAUUUCUGGCUAAAUGUUGAGUAGCCUACAGAAUUGAUCUUUCAUCAGCGAUGAAAUGGAUCCUCAUGAUUUUCUCGAGCUAUAUUUCACUCUUUAUGAAAAGAAAUUAUAUAUGGCAAAUAAGAUAUUCAUACUACUAGUUAAAUGUUCACACCACUCGUUAGUAACAUAACUAUUUUGUGCUAUACAUCAACCUUUUAAAUACUAAUAUCUACUGAGUUCUCAAAUGAAAGAUAUUUGUGUAUUUAAAAAAUGUUCAUAUCUUCAAAAUUUAUGCUCAUAGAGUUUUUAAAAAUAUAGAUGCAUUGAAAAAUGUGGUUGCAUUUUUAUAAAUAAACACUAAGGGUAAAAGUAAUUUAAAUCAAAAUUUAAAUAAAGACACCAAUUUUCAUGGAAGCAUAAGGCCUUGUUCGUUGGAAGAGGUUUAGAUGGGAAUAUCCCCAUAGGGCCCAAAUACCAAGGAAUCACCGUCGGCCCAUGCCAGCCCCCCAACCCCCACAAUCCCCACCAACCCCUACAAAGACCCAACUGACGUGUACAGAAAACUCUAGAAGCCACUCGUGGAACGGGAUAAGACAAGGGCGCUCGCGAUGAUAGUACUGUCGUAUGAGGUUUAAACAAGCAAAGGGAUUUACGAGGAGGAGAGGGAGGGGGGAGGGGGUAUUAGUGGGGAGUCGAAGAAAUUGGGUGGAGGGGAGGGAUUACCAAACCCCCUCCGAACGAGGGAUAAAGAAGAAACGGAAAUAAAAAAUGUAGAGAAGAAGAUAAAAAACUUAAAUAAAAUAAUAACAUAAAAAAGGUUAAAAAAUGUCAAGCAACCCGUAAUUGGCCGUACCAAAAGGGGGUGCUAGCUCAGCAUCCUUAUUUCACACAACGAGCAUGGAGAAACCUUUAAACUUGCACACUUUACAUGUUGAAGCUUAAUUGAAAAAAUAUGCAUGGAAUUCUACCGGGCCUCUAACACAAAAGCCAAUUAUGAAGACAUCUAUAUACAGGGAGAGAUGGAGGCUUUAGCCAUUUUUGGAAUUCCUCGAAACCCUUACCCAUACAUCCCCGUGCCCAAAUUCACCCAUCCAAAUCCGGAAGCCCGGCUUACAACGCUGCUCCCCUAACGGGUUGUCCGAAAAAUCACGAGGUGAAAAAUGUAAUAUAACUGCACUUGCACCAACACCACUGUCCCGACUCUAUUUUUGCUAGGAGUAUACACACCUCUCGUUAUAAUUUCUGUUAUCAAGUAGUACUCCCUCCAUCUGAAAAUACUUGUCAUAGAAAUGGAUAUAAAUGGACGCAUCUAAAACUAAAAUACAUCUCUCCGACAAAUAUUUCCGGACGGAGGGAGUACUUCUGUAGCCCAUUUCAACUUUUUAUCUUUCCAUUUCAACAAAAGUACUCCGCCAGCAAGGAGUGGAUCAGUUGGUAAAGCCUAACCAAAAGCACCAUUAUCAUCGGGCAUCUUAACGAGCGAGCCUAGCCUCAUCAAUUUCCAAUAAAAACUUCUACCAGUACGAUCAAUGCAGUGACUAAGUGCCGUGCUGUCAAGUGCGUACUGGUAAUCGGGAUAGAACCAGCUCGUCAUCGCCAGCACCUAGAAAGAGUAGAUAGAUAGAUGCCCCGGUCGACACGAUAGGAUAACCAUCGGCGCGGCCUGCAAGUAGCCGUGGCGUGCCAUCCGUGGAAACUACUAGUAGAAAUGCAUUGUUAAAUUACCGUAAGAUAACCAUGCCCAAUUUGCCGACUGCUUGAGGCUAAUCCGUUCGUUGUUAGCCGUGGUUUCUUUUCACUGUAAUCACAGAUUCUCUCUCUGCCGAUACCGAGGCUGGCCGCAGAUCGAAUCCCCUCGCAAAUACCACCGGAUAAAAAGAUACCCAUCCCCGGGGCCCACCUGCCAUUGGGACCAGGAGAGCCGCAGAACACUUACGUACAACGGGACAGAGGGAUUCUUGCGCGCACCCCCCUCGAGUCCUUCUCAAUCACGUACGGGUCCCAUUUCGCUCUCCUCGCCACGGGCCGCGGCCGCUAUAUAAAGCGGCAGGCAUCCCGAGCUCGGAGACACACACAGAGAGAGCGCCCGUCCCACCCCUCACCCGCCGCCGUCCCGUCCGUUCGGUCCGUUAGGGUUUCGUCGGCCAUGGCGAUCCUCGGGGAGCUCGGCACCGAGAUCCUCAUCCCCGUCUGCGGGGUCGUCGGCAUCGUCUUCGCCAUCGCGCAGUGGUUCAUCGUCUCCAAGGUCAAGGUCACCCCCGGCGCCGCCGCCGCCGGCGGCUCCAAGAACGGCUACGGCGACUACCUCAUCGAGGAGGAGGAGGGCCUCAACGACCACAACGUCGUCGUCAAGUGCGCCGAGAUCCAGACCGCCAUCUCAGAAGGUGAGAAGCAUCCUCCGCCUCCUCCACCGCCGGUGGUCCCCCUCCCCCUUCCAUCUCACUCUCUCCCCAGAUCUGGGGCGGCCGUUGCUCGGCGCGCGCAGAUCCGCCCGUUUCGCGGCCGUUUCUCCGGAGGAAGCGGCCGCGCUCCGAGUGCGGAUAAUGUUUGAAACUGCCGGGUAGUACUAUUAUUUAGGAAGUAGUAGAAUUUUUCAGGGCCAAAUGGCUCGGAUUGUGGCCGUCAGUUGGUUCAUUUCGUUGAUUCUAGCGCUGAUCUGACCGGGGAACUUUCAAAUUUCAGCUCGGCCGUGCUCCUAGAGUGUUUUUUCCUCUUUAUGGAAGGAUAAAACCAUGAGAAAGCUGAACUGUACCGAUGCUAAAAGCUAUUCCUUGCUUCCUUUUAUGCAAAAGGAAACCGAAUCCGGGCGCCGGAGCUUUUGAUUUGCCCGUGGGUGCUGCAGAACAGUGUCGUUUUCCCCCAAACCAUGCCGCGCCCCUAGGAUAUAUUUGUCGCUCCUGGCUUAGUUCCAAAUCUGCAGGAUUUCAAAAGCCGGCUCCUGUGACACUUUUGUUUGCUAGAUAGAUCUUUGUUUAUGCGGCUCCAUGUGGGGCUGGCUAGGCCAGCAAAUCACCAUCGUCCAUUUUCUAAAUCUGAAUCUAAAUUUAUAGUAGACGCUUGUGUUUGGUGCUAGAUCAAGGCUUCAAUAAACAGUUCUUUUAAUGCCUUGAGCGGUGCCCGUGUUCUGCGUUGGUGCUGUAGUAAAGAUGCAGCUUUCAGUGGGCAACCGCACAUCUCUGCCGUCGCUGUCUUAUUUUAAUUAGAGUAUCAUACUCGCUUGGUGGUGGAAGGUGCGUGAUGGAUCUGCCAAACGCAGCAAGCUAGACACGUUGUGAGCUGCCUUGACUUGGGUAGGCAGAUCCAGACCUGAAACGUCAGGCUCAUGGAUAAGGAUCCCGGCCAUCUGUCACUGACGUGUCGUCAGUUUGCCCCUAGCCUUGUGGGAUUGCCAUCUCCAUCUGCCUAACCCUCACCCGAUGCGUGUCCUGUUUCUUGGGGGUUCGGUGAUUGGUGUCACCAAUUUGUUUCUUCUUUGAUUGGGACCUGUACAGUGGAAGAUUUACUCUUGGAAUUGUCUGCCGGGAUAGGAUUUGGUGCGUGGCUUGCUGCUCUCCCCUAGAUGUAAAACGGCAGUGGGUGGUAGAUAUUUGUUUGUCAAUGUGUCAGUCUCUAGGUAGAUCCUAUUUCGUUACUUACUAAUUUCAGGAAGAUACAGUUGAACUGAGGUUAUCUAAUGUAAUAAUAUGCACUGUUAGCUGUAACCAAAAGCUGAGUUUAUUUAAUUUAACUAUUUAGUUUGAUCAUAUGAUUUAUGUGUAACAAUUAUCUUUUAUUGUGAGCAGGAGCAACAUCAUUCCUUUUCACCAUGUACCAGUAUGUUGGUAUGUUCAUGGUCGUCUUUGCUGCGGUUAUCUUCGUCUUCCUUGGGUCAAUUGAGGGAUUCAGCACAAAGGGCCAGCCCUGCACCUACAGCACGGGCACCUGCAAGCCAGCUCUCUACACCGCCCUCUUCAGCACUGCAUCUUUCUUGCUUGGAGCCAUCACAUCUUUGGUGUCUGGUUUCCUUGGGAUGAAGAUCGCCACAUACGCCAAUGCUAGGACGACCCUGGAGGCAAGGAAGGGUGUUGGGAAGGCAUUUAUCACUGCUUUCCGCUCUGGUGCAGUCAUGGGCUUCUUGUUGUCAUCAAGUGGGCUUGUGGUUCUUUACAUCACCAUCAACGUGUUCAAGAUGUACUACGGUGAUGACUGGGAAGGUCUUUUUGAGUCCAUCACUGGUUAUGGUCUUGGUGGGUCUUCCAUGGCUCUAUUCGGAAGAGUUGGUGGAGGUAUCUACACCAAGGCUGCUGACGUGGGUGCUGAUCUUGUUGGCAAAGUUGAAAGGAACAUUCCUGAAGAUGACCCAAGGAACCCAGCUGUGAGUUCUCUUCUCACUUCUCAGCUUUUGGCUAAUCAUUUUAGGCAAAUUAGCAGACCUUGCUUACAAUUUAUACUGUGACUGUUAUGCUUCAUGGGAUUUCCUUUGCUGAACUUUAAACUCUUGUUUGCAGGUGAUUGCUGACAAUGUCGGUGACAAUGUUGGUGAUAUUGCUGGAAUGGGAUCAGAUCUCUUUGGUUCAUACGCAGAAUCUUCCUGUGCUGCUCUUGUUGUUGCUUCUAUCUCAUCUUUUGGAAUCAACCAUGAUUUCACUGCGAUGUGCUACCCACUGCUCGUGAGCUCUGUCGGCAUCAUUGUUUGCUUGCUCACCACGCUCUUUGCAACUGAUUUCUUCGAGAUCAAGGCUGCAAGCGAAAUUGAACCUGCUCUGAAGAAGCAGCUCAUCAUCUCCACUGCUUUAAUGACCAUCGGUGUUGCGGUAAUCAGCUGGUUGGCUCUUCCAGCUAAGUUCACCAUCUUCAACUUCGGUGCUCAGAAGGACGUGUCCAACUGGUAAUUUAUUUGUCAAUAUUUGUUAUUCAAUUCUGCAAUGUUGUAAUCCCUUCUGAUUAUGCUCUCUUGGUUUUCACAGGGGCCUGUUCUUCUGCGUGGCAGUUGGUCUGUGGGCUGGUCUGAUUAUUGGGUUUGUGACCGAGUACUACACUAGCAAUGCCUACAGGUAAGGAACCCAUUAGUUUCUAGUUACUCCCCCCGUCCCAUAAUAUAAGAACGUUUUUGACACUAGUAUAGUGUGAAAAACAUUCUUAUAUUUUGGGACAGAGGGAGUAUAUUAUUGUUCAUAUUUUGUGUUACGGUGUCUUAUCCCCCAAUUAUUUCCUUGUGGCAGCCCUGUGCAAGAUGUUGCCGAUUCCUGCAGAACUGGUGCUGCCACCAACGUCAUCUUCGGUCUUGCCCUGGGUUACAAGUCCGUCAUCAUCCCAAUUUUCGCUAUUGCUGUCAGCAUCUACGUCAGCUUCUCUAUUGCUGCGAUGUACGGCAUUGCAAUGGCUGCUCUUGGCAUGCUUAGCACAAUGGCAACUGGUCUUGCGAUCGAUGCUUAUGGUCCCAUUAGUGACAAUGCUGGUGGAAUUGCUGAGAUGGCUGGCAUGAGCCACAGAAUCCGUGAGAGGACUGAUGCUCUUGAUGCUGCUGGCAACACAACCGCUGCUAUUGGAAAGGUAAAUUUUCCUGCUCUACAUUUGUUGGGUAACUCCUUUUUGACCUGACUACUGUUUUGUUUUUGCCACAUUGAGAAGGUAAAAGUAUUUGAUAAGAUGAGCUAUUUGAUUAUUGCGGAAUUAGGCAGUGGGGGAUGGGUUUGUAGUGAAAGCCACUUUAUUGGUUAUGUAACUCCUCCUUUCCAUAUAAUGUUGCAGGGUUUCGCCAUUGGAUCAGCUGCUCUUGUGUCCCUGGCACUUUUCGGUGCUUUUGUCAGCAGAGCCGGCGUGAAGGUCGUCGAUGUCCUAUCUCCCAAGGUGUUCAUUGGCCUGAUUGUUGGAGCCAUGCUUCCGUACUGGUUCUCUGCCAUGACCAUGAAGAGUGUUGGAAGUGCUGCUCUCAAGAUGGUUGAGGAGGUCCGCAGGCAGUUCAACACCAUCCCCGGACUGAUGGAGGGAACUGCCAAGCCCGACUAUGCCACCUGUGUCAAGAUCUCCACUGAUGCUUCCAUCAAGGAGAUGAUCCCUCCGGGUGCUUUGGUCAUGCUCACCCCCCUCAUUGUCGGAACCCUCUUCGGCGUGGAAACCCUGUCUGGUGUUCUGGCUGGUGCCCUUGUUUCUGGAGUGCAGGUAUCCUUAGUGCUCUCGCCUUUCUUCCUCUGAGUACCUCUGAAUCCGUUUAUUCUAGGCAUUUACCUAGUUCCUUUCCUACAGAUCGCCAUCUCUGCUUCCAACACCGGCGGUGCAUGGGACAACGCAAAGAAGUACAUUGAGGUAAAUAUUCUCAGAAGCCCUGACUGUUCAUUUUUUUUUGACUGCAUAUUAACGAGCCACUAUAUUUAUCAUGUCUCUAACUGUCAUCAAAUUCUUUGCUACUUGUUUCAGGCUGGCAACAGCGAGCACGCGAGGUCCCUUGGCCCCAAGGGUUCAGACUGCCACAAGGCGGCCGUGAUCGGCGACACCAUCGGAGACCCCCUCAAGGACACCUCAGGCCCGUCGCUCAACAUCCUCAUCAAGCUCAUGGCCGUCGAGUCCCUCGUGUUUGCGCCCUUCUUUGCCACGUACGGAGGCGUGCUGUUCAGGUACAUCUAGAAGACUCACGACGAGUCGAGCGGACUUCGAAUCUACGGACAGCAUCACGAAUAACUUCCCCGCCCCGCCCGUCGUCCACCGUUCGUAUGUUGUGCGCUGCUGUUAUUUUUGGUUCUUGUGUCAUUAUUCCAGGAUUGCCGCAGUUUACCCCCCACUUUCCCUUUGGCCUCUUGGGUGUGUUACGUUAGUCUCACCAUUACCUACCGGCUUGUAGCUCCAUGUAGUAGAAGAGAGAGACCAGAUGUCCUCGGUCAUUAUUGGUAUGUGUCUGGCAAAUUUUCCUCGUCCCAUGAUGACGACGAUAAUGUUUGAACCCUUGAACGAUGAUAUCAUGACGAUUGUUGCAUCAUCUCUCCUGUGCCAAGUAUUUAUUCUUGAUUCAGCUAAUCUGUGUGCACCUGUGACUUGCUGCUCGAUCUGCAUAAGAUCAGAUAGAUGGAAG
rnacentral:lncRNA from 1 species